GUGAAUAAAUUUUGGACACUCCUUACUUGCAGUGUUUUAAGGUACAUCAUGACUUUUUAUACAAAUGGAAAUUACAGGGCUGCUCUGUUUGGUCUGCAAAUCAUGCGAGUUGGUGCAAGGUUAGUUAAAAUCCAAAGACAUAUCAUUCACCUCUAUGAUGUUCUUGAUCUUAGCUAUAUUGUCCUCCAAAAGUUUGUUUCCUUCACUAAGCGACUUAGUAUUUUUUUUGUAAGUAUUGAAUUUGGUCAAUAUUUUGACAAGAUGACCUCCGUUAGUUAUUUCAUCGAUUUCGUUGAGUCUGAAAAGUCAUAUUAAAUUGGGUCGCAUAGUUUGUUUGCGUCGAUGAAAUUCUGAACGAUUUUUGAGCCACCAUCGUGGGAUUUCUCACUUUUAGUGAACUACUGAUGUAGUGUUGCUGGUGCAACACUGUUCCCUUCUUCGCGUUCGCAAAGAGUAAACUUCGUGGUCUCCGCGUUCACGAGUCUCUUACUGCAUUCAAAGGGUUAGCUCCCUAGGCCUUUACGUUCGUGUUCUUCUCGUCGCGUUUGCAAAUGGUUAAUUCCUUGACAGUAAUAAGAAUUUAUACUCGUUUUAGGAAUGCAUUUGUUCAUUUUAAGACUUAGUAUUUUGGCGAUUUGGAGAGAAAUUAUUGACAGAUUUGCGUGAUUCUUGUUGAGUUGUGUUGGGGAAUCGCAUGGACACGUUCCGAGGUGGUUGAAUCUUUAACUAACCUUGGUAAUUUCCAUAAAUUUCUCUUUGAUUCAGCUUUUUGAUCCUUGUUGAGUUAAUUUUUGGAGGGACUGUUUUGGCUCAAUGGUGGCUCGGAUUGUACCCAUUUUCGGGGCACAACUUUCUUGAGCAGUUUGGGACCUCCUAACGAAGUCAAUUUUAUGACUCUGUGUGGGGGUUCCACAGUUGCGUUUUUGGGUUUGUAUUUGCAAGUUCAAAUUAUCAAUAUUAAUAUGGAUAUUGUUGUGCUUGUUUUUGCGUUCCCAUCGAGUUGUUGAUAGCUUGAAAACAUUUCGAGGCUCUUCGAAAGGGAAAAACACCAGAGUAGUCAUUCGUGUGCGAUUUCGGUCUAGAGGUAGGUUAUGAUUUCUCUUUUUUAGACUUUUCUUAGCUUGAUUAUGUAUGUUUUGAAUAGUUGAUAGUUAUAAAUGCUUUAGGAUUAGUUAGUAGGUGUAUUUUACCUUUAGUGAGAUUUAUUUGUCAUUUCAGAUUAUUUAGUUUAGUAUUUUAGUCGAUAAGUCUUAGUUUAGGUUGUGUCUUGGAUUGAUUGUGGUUUAGAUCCUUAGAAUGCUCUUAGGUAGUCUGGAAAUUAGUUGGUAUGCCCAUUGAUUGCUUGUUUAUUUUUUUUGUGUGUGUGUGUCUUUUUUGAGUUAUGUUUCGAGUUUAUCGCUUUAUUGAUUGAACUGUUGGGACUGAGUCCUUGGGCUUGGACUAGCUAGAGUUCCAAAUUAGUACGACUAUCUUAUGACGAGUGUCUACCCGGUUGUGUGUUGUAUGAAUUGAUCUGUGAGAAUGUUUGGGUUGUGGUGGCAUGAAAUCAUGUUCAUGGCAUAUUGAUAACAUAAUUGCAUUUGAUUUUAGAAAGAAAAGAGGUUCUUGAAUACUUACUAUAUUUUCUACUGAAUUUAGAUUCGAGGGAGCAGGAUUAUUGAUUUUCAUUGAUUUUACUGAUAGAGAGAAAAUGUAUCAUUUUUGUCUUAUUAGACAUAUGUUCAUAAGCUCCAACAGCCUGCAGAUUGAAUUUCGUAUUUUUGUUACUAUUAUUACAUUUGUAGUUGAGUUGAGGCGGGUUCUGUAGUUAUCUUGGGGGUCCACAGAAUAGCCGAUGAGAUAAUUUCGAUACCUUUUUACUUUAAACAUGCAUUGGCACAUGUGCAUAUCAUUUCAUUGUUUGAUUGAUUGUCGUGUGGUAAAGUUGUUGUUGCCUUCCGUGCCGAUAGUUUUGGUUACUUUUAGCCUUAUUACCAGACUCCUGUUAGAACUAUCAUGUUGCUUAUUAUAUAUAUAUUAUCUUUCUGAGCUCGACCAGUCUGUCAUGUCUACUGAGUAUCCCGUAUUUUGAUACUCAUAUUACACUUUUGCUUCUUUUUCUGAUGCAGAUCUUAGUACGAGCCACCCCAAGUGAGCAUUAGAUCUCCCUUGGCUGUCACAGAUAUGGAUCGUGCUGAGCUCUUAGCGUUCAGAGACUUUUUGCUUUCCCUCUUUUGCACUGACUUGUAUUAUGUAUCUUGAUUGGUCAGUUCUUUUGUAUAUAUAGCUUUUCUGUACUUAGUAGCUUCUGUAUCAGUGACAUUAGGUCUCGUAUUAGUUUUCCUUCUUGGUCACUUUUGGGCUUCUUUUGUAUAUUUUGUAUCAUACUUACAGAUCUAUACUAUGGCAUGUUUCCAUAUAUAAUCCAUGUUUCCGUUUAUUCUUAGUUAUUAUUAGUUAAAUUGUUAUCUUCCUCAGCUUUUGGUUUGGGUUUUGGCUUGCUUACUCGGGGUUUAUAAGCGCCAUCAUGACCCGAUUUUGGGUCGUGACAACAUCUUAAUAUUUUUGCUUGGUCAAUAAACUUUUGUUUGGCCAUAAAUUUUGAAGUUGAAAUUUAAAAAUUUAAGUUUUUGAAGUUGUGUCUGAAUUUGUAAUUUACUUGAUUUUUAUUGGGAAAAUACAUAAAAAACCCCCUGAACUUGGCACGAAAACUUACUUUAAUACUUCAACUACACGGGUGUUUAUAUACCCCCCUAAUCUCAUUUAAAGUGAAUAAAUACCCCCCUAAGAAUACAAAACCAGUCUCACAGUGGCAAGUAUAUUACACACGCGCCAAGUCAUUGCCAUAUCAACGCCACAUCAUUGCCACGUCAGAAUCGUGUUGGAAAUCAGUUUUAAAAAUUUAUUUUUUUCCUUCCCUUCUUCUUCUCUCUCCCAUGUUAGAAAUCAAUUUUUAAAAUUUAAUUUGUUUUUCCCUUCUCUCUCCAAUGGAUGCACUACCUUCCACCUCCAUUAGUGUUUUCUCAUUUCUUGCUUGAUUAUCAUUAAUUUUCACUAAUGACUUCUCUAUUUUCAACCUCAAUAUCUUCUAACAAUUUCACUAAUUUCUUUUGAGAAAAUUCUCAUACAUUUUCUAUCAAUAUCCAUUGAUGUGAGAUUGCAACAAAUAUGGACCUACAUUGAAUUUUUUAUCGAUGUAUUGCUCUCUUUGGUAUUUGAGGACAAAUAAAUCAACUGAAAAUGUAGAUGAAUUCGACCCUUUAGUAAAAAAAAUAAAAAAAUCCUUUCCAAUAUUCCAUCUUCAAAAACCCUUAUUUUUUCAUGACAUACAACAAUCAUAAUUUUUGAAAUCAUAAAAAUGUGUUAUGAAAUUUUCUUUUGUUUGACAGAAAUCUCAAGUUUGAUCGGAACGAAGUUUAAUGAUUUUUCUCUCUUUAGUAGAUCUGAAAACAAAAAAAAAAAGAUGAAGAUUAAGAUGCAGGUGAGGUAGGGUACAAUGGGGGUGUUCGAAGAAGGAAAAAGGGCGAGAGGUAGGGUACAAUGGGGCUGUUCGAAGAAGGAGAAAGGGCGAGAUAAGGGGGUUCAAAAUAAGUGAAAAGGGCUGCGGGGGGGGGGGGGGGGUCCAUUAUGCCACGUCCGCAUUAAGGGGGGUAUUUAUUCACUUUAAAUGAGAUUAGGGUGGUAUAUAAACACCCGUGUAGUUGAAGUAUUAAAGUAAGUUUUCGUGCCAAGUUCAGGGGGGUUUUUAUGUAUUUUCCCAUUUUUAUUUGAAGUUUUGUGAGUGAAAAGUACAAUCAGAUCAGAUUUGAGAACUUGAUAAUAUUUGAAGAAUCUGAUCAAAUUUCAUGAUCAAACAUUUUUUUUACGAUAAAUUUUUAAAAUCGAUCUGAAAUCUCUAAUCAAACGCUAGCUCAGGUUACUUUCAUAAAGUUAUAAGUAAAUGAAUUUUGAAUUUAAGUCAACUUUAAAAGUUAGUCAUGAAGAAAGAAUUGCCCAAGAGGCUAAGAUCAAGGAUAUCAAGUGUUAAUUAACACACCGAGAUCUAGGCUUCAUUUCAUUGCGAUGGUUAAUGAUCUUCCAUGUUAAAUAUUAUUAGUCAAAUUAGUUUUCUAAAAUAUAAUUAACGAAAAAGGUCAUAUUUGUCCUUGUACUCUCACAAAUAAGUCAUAUUUACCCUUAGUUAUACUUUUCAACAUAUUUACCCUUUUCAUACAAAUUUAGGGUCAUAUUUGCCCUUAUAAUCUUUAACAGAGUCAUAUUUACCCCUACGAUAUUAACUCCUCAUGUCAUCAAUAUAUUUAUUUUUGUACUCUAAAAAAUGAUUAUAUUUGUCAUUAUACUCUUAAAAAAGGUUAUAUUUACCCCAAUAACAUUAAAUUCGCAUGUCCUCAAACAUAUUUGGAUAGAAUGGAAUGGAAUAGAGUGGUUGAAGAAUCCUACCUAUCUCAUUGGGAAAUGGACAGAAUAGCAAUGAGAAUCGACAACUCAAUUAAAACCAUUGCCCUCCAUUUAAGCUACGCCAAACCUAAUUUUCUUUGACCAACAAUAUUAUAUAUAUAUGUCUAUCAUUGAAAAGUGUAACAUAUUGACAAAAUAACAAAAUAGGGUUUGUUUUUUAUUCUGCAGCCUUGCUUGUCACGUUGUUUAAAAAAUAAAGAAAUGCCAAAGAUCUAAAAUUAAUAGUAAUAAAGAAAGAGGAAAAUAACAAUAAUAUCCUACUUCACAUUGUUUAUAACGAUUGUAAGUACAAAACCAAAAGAUUAGAAUAAUCAAGUCACGUUAACAUCCUUUGACCACAAGAGAAAGGGAAGGAUUUAUAAGUUAAAAUUCCUCUUUACAAGGUAUUUUUUUACUAUUAAACUUGGGAUUAAGAAAUAGAUAUGGAUGAAAAAAACAAAAAUUGGGCAGUGAAAAUGGUUGAUAGAUGAGCCAAUUUUCUCCUUUUCAUAUAAGAAAACAUAAAAAGGAGUAGUCCUAAUAAAAUAAAAAUGCCAACUCUCAACUCAACACUUUUGUCUUAAAACGGACUAUUCUUCACAUUAGUUGGAGGAGUGACGUUGUCUCAAUCUACUAACUCCCUAGCUCACUUCUAUAUUAGUUUGUUUUUCUCGUUCGAUAUUAGAUAUUUGCAUCAUAGUUCAACUAAUUUAGAUUUAUGUGGCGUCGAUAGAGCCUCAUUCGGGGGUUGCACUGUCUAUCAAGAAUUUUUCCAUACUUAAGACUCGAAUCUGAAACAUCUAAUUAAGAGAGGAACAAUUCCUUCUACUGCACUACAUCCUAUGAUGGUAUUCUAUAUUAUUAAAAUUAGGUCUAAGUCAUCUGCAACCCCUUAAAGUUGUCUGCAUAUUUCACAUAGACACCUCAACUAUGACUAUUACCUAUUGAACACCUAAAUAUUUCAAAAAGUAUACUUAUUAAACACAAAACUUGAUGUGGCAAACAAAGUGUUUUUCACUUCAGCUGAGCGCGUGAAAAAACCUUAAAUAUUAUUUUAUUUUUAUUUUUUCAAAAAAAACUUAAUACUUUUUACCACUUGGCAUUUAAAUAGUUUAAUUUUUUUAAAAAUAAUUUAAAAGUAAUACUAAUUCUUAAAACAAAAACAAAACAGAAAAAAAGCCCCCCACCCCCACCCCUUUCAAGUCGUCUUCUUCACCAAAGAAGCCCUGUUUUUUUUUUUUUUUUUUCUAUUCUAUCUCUUUUCAAUAUUUAUUAAAAACAAUAAAAAAUGAAUCGACUAGUUGAAUUUGAAGGAAAAAAGAAGAGAGAACAUCAGGCUGAAAAAAAUUAGCCGAUCGACGUCCAUCUCGGUCACCUUCGAACAAUAUUACCAUUCAAAUUAAAAUGUAAACCCAUUAAAAUUAUCAAAAAUAAUAUCAGAUUGAUUCAUAAAAUAAUUUAGGUCCUCUCGAUUUCUCUUUGCUAUCGAUUGAAAGACUCUCUUUCUUCAUCACUCUUGUAUCAGUCUCUUUGAAUACCUUUUUCUCUCACGUAUUAGGAAUAAAAAAUAAUUAUAAAAGCAAUUAACAAAUAUAUUGAAUUUUAUCGUUUGAGAAAAAAAAUUGUUAGGAAGAAGAUGAAGAAGAAAAGGGGCUGGGUAGGGUUGAACUUCUCAUUUAUUUUUUAAAAAAAAUUAGAUGGAAAAAUUUAUUUGAAAUAAUUUUCAUUCUUUUUAACAUAAUUUUUUUUCCUAUAAUUGUUGGACCCUACGCCACAUGUUAUCUUUUAAAUAGUCAUUUUGCCACAUCACAUCAAGUGCAUUACACACACUUUAUUUUUUUUACUUAUUAUCGGAAAAUAUUUAAUAGGAACAAGUUUUGAAUAGAUAAAAGUGUUUAAUAGGUACUAGCCUUAGUUGAAGUGUCUAAGUGAAUUGUGCGGACAACUUUAAGGGGCCGCAGAUGACUUAAGUCUUAAAAUUAUUUAGUCACAAAAUACAUAUGUAUUUAUAAAGUUAAUUAACUUUUUUUCAUUUUGCCGUAAAAUAAAUAAUAAUAUUGAUUAUAUUGAAAAAAUAAGAAUAAAAUAGUAUAUGAAAUUUUUAUUUAUGAUUUUUAAAGAGGGUGUGAAAGAGAAAUGAGAGAAUUAAUAUGAGAUAGAGAGAGUAAUAUAGUACUCCCUCCGUCCCAUUUUAUGUGGCAACAUUUGACCGGGCACGGAGUUUAAGAAAUAAAUGAAGACUUUGAAAUGUUUACCAAAUUGCCCUUUAAAAAGUAGACUCUUUUUUCUCUCUCCUCAUAAAUGUAUUGGAGUAUUAUUUUAAGAUUAAGUGGGACUAACAAGGAUAAAAGAGGAAUUGUAUCUUUAUAAACUUACCAUAUAAGGAAAUGUGACAUUCUUUUUGGAACUGACCAAAAAGGAAAUGUUGUCACAUAAAAUGGGACAGAGGGAGUAGUACUUUGAUUAAUGUCAUUAAUUGACUUUACCCUAAAGAUUAAUAGUUUAAUGAUUUGAAUAUUGUAAUGAAAGUUUUAAAAUAAUACUCAAAAGAUGACUUUGUGUCUUGAACAAAGGGAUUUCAGUUAUCGGGGAUUGGUUUUUAUGAAGUGUGGCGUGAAUGGCGCGCUGUCCCAACUCUUUCAUUAAUACCUCCGAAUGUGUCUAUUUACUUAUUCAUUUUUGACUUGACACACAUAAGAAUAUAAUAAUGGAUAUGAGUUUACUAUUUUACCUCUAUUAAUUGAUAGAAUUUCAAAAUCGAUUUACUCGUUAAAGAGGUUUUAUUUUUUUCAAAAAUAUUAACUAUCUAAAUAAAUUGAGUGUAUAAUAGAUAAAAAUAAUAAUUCUUGAUUUGUCAAAAAUUGCAAGUAAAAAGUCAAAAUUGGACAAAUAAAAAGGAACAUGGGAGUAGUAGUAGUGAAAAACUCCACUGCUCUUCCAUUAACCAAUGUAUUUACCCCUCUGGUGGUUGGUUGGAAUUAUUUAUAAGGUAAUGCUAAAUGGCCAGAAAUUUAAAAAAUUUAUAAUAUCUUUUUUAUUUUAAAAUAAAUUGAUCUUUUUUCAUUUUUUAAUUAAAAGGUAUUAAAGUUAAAAGGAUAAAAAUGUUUAAAAAGGUAAAAAUAACAUAGGUAAAAUAUCAUUCUGGCCAAAUUUUCUGGCCAAAAGGAUAUGUCCUUAUUUAUAUGUUAAAAUUAGCAUAAUUUUUAUACAUAAUUUAAUUAUCAUUAUUAGUUAAACACUCCCUAUGUCCCUAAUUACUUGUCCACUUUUGAAUUGAGACACCUUUUAAGAAAACAAUAAUUGACAUAGCGAGUUUAUCAUUUUACUCCUAUUAAUUAUGAAGUGAAUGAAUUAAAAAUUUAAGAUUUCAAAAAGUUCUAACUUUUUCAAAAUAAUUAAUUGAGGAUAUAAUCGGUAAAAAAAUUUGUGUCGAAUUUUUAGAUUGCUUGUAACAAAUUAACAUUAUCUAUGAAUAAUAAUUUAACACAAUUGCUUGUAACAAUUGGUAAAACACACAUUAUACAAUAGGUAAAAGGAAAAAUGAACUUCAUUAUAUAUGAAUAAUAAUUUAACACAAUUGCUAGUAACAAAUUAACAAUAACAAAAAAGAUCAUGAUAAAACAGAAGAUUACAAUCUGAAAGUUGCUAUGGAAGAAAACUGAAAGUCAUCUACUAAAAUGCUAACAACACAAUUAUUUUGUCACUAAAUCAGUAUCGCAAUACCAAUAUUUAUUUGAAAAUCUAUUUACAUAUAAGAAAUUAUUAUACUGACACAAUAUGCCUAAUAGUUUUUGCACAUAAAUUGGUAUCACUAAGUUAAUGUUUAUUAGGACUUUAUACUAUAUAAAGAUUUAUAAUAUUUCAAUUAAUCAAAGAGAUAAUUAUACUUUAGUGUAAUCCAUAAAGUUACUUUACAUAAUCUAACCAAGGUUUUGAAUACUUAUUUGAAUUGGCCCAAAUAAGAAACUUAAAUGAACCCAAUGCAAAAAGAAUCAUUCAAAAUUCCAUCUUAUAACUUCAAAAAAGCACAAAUUACAGGCAUAAUUAAUGUAGCAAAAUUCCAAGAGAAAUUUGUAAGAAAAUUUGGGGAAUAUUUUCUAUUCAAAUUUGUCUUGAUUCAUGAUAUUUCACCUAUUGAGGAUGAUAGGUCAUCAAUAUAUCUAUCUUUUCAUAAAUUUUUAGAAGAUUUCAUCAUGCCGUUUGAGGGAAGUUAACCGACGAAGUUUGAUAAAAUUUUAGUUUGCAUAAUAAUGUAUAAAAUUGUAUAUAUUAUAUGUGGUAUAUAAAUACCCUUUAUAAUUUUGCAUAAUAUAUAUAUUAGGUGCAUAAUAGUGUCUAUCAAGUUUUUAAAACAUUUUUGUAAAAAACAAAUAUGGAGAGAUUGACAUGUAAGUACAAGUCCUAAAUAGAAUUUACAAGUUUUAACCCAAAAAAAGAUUAACAAAGUUUAGCCCUAAAAGUAUUGGCAACAAUUGUCAAAGAGAAUAAAAAAUGGUACUUUUAUGGUAAUAAAAUUUUCCAGACGUAUUUCCAAUCAACGCAAUUUUAGCGGUUUAAUAUUUCAAUUCUUGCGGUAACUUGUAUAAGAUUAUUAAUCAUCUUUGUACUCCUUUGUAUUAUUAGGAAGAAAAAAUUAUUAAUACAUAUAGCAUAUUAAAUUUGUUAUGUAUACAUUAACUAUAUUGCGCUUUAUUGUUGUAUAAAUUUAUUUGGGUAAAUUUCAUAAAUAUGCAAUAAAGUAGUUUCAUUUGCACCAAAUAUAGUCAAGUUUUCAUUUACAUAAAAUAACCUAAAAUUAGCGAUAUAUGUACCACAGUAAAAAAUAUUUUCAAUAAAAUGGGCAUAUGUAUAUGUAAUGUAUCAAUAUGUAUAUAUAAUAUAUCAAUAUUGUAUAAAUAAUGUAUACACAUAUAUAGAUGAUGUAUAACUAGAUUUUAUAUACAUUGAUGAUAGAAUAAAAUAUACAUUGCAUUAUAAUAUAUUGAUAUUGUAUAAAUAGUGGAUACUUAUGUAUAGAUGAUGCAUAACUAGACAUCCAUAUACAUUGUUGAUACAAUCAAGUGUACAUUGCAUAUAUAUUGUUGAUACAAUAAAUAUACUUUGCAGACCGAUUUUUUUCAAUCUCAACCAACUCAAAUCUCCUCUAAGCAAUCUCAAAAUUUAGAUAUGAGUUCCCCUCAAUGUUUCGAGUCUUUUGAUAUAUUAUUCGCUCGAAAUGAUUAAAUUUUAUAAUACGUCAAUUUUAAAGGAAAUUUUUUCAAAAUGUCAAUAUUUUAGCAUUUAAUAGGAUCCCUUAGCCACACUUUCAAUAUUUAUGAAAAAUGUCAAUAUUUUCUUUUGUUAUAGGGCUGAUUAUGUAUUUUUUUUUCAUUUGGUUAAUUUUAAAGAAUAUAAUUAGUUAAUAACAGAAAGGAGAAAAUCAUGGGAGAUAAUAUUUUAAAACUUUUAAACUGAGAUUUAAAUAGAGAGAUAUUGAGAUACAUUGUGAGGACAAAAAUACAAUUUUUUUGAUGACAUACAGUUAGAAAUACAAAAUAAGAAGCAAUAUAACAAAAAAUAUGUUGUAUUGCACAUAAUCCCCACAAAAUAAUAUUAUGUACUACAAAAGUUGUAUCUAAACAAAAAUUAUGUUGUAUUCCACACAAUCAACUGCAAAGAUACUAUUAUGAACUACUAAGUUUGUAUCCGCUUCUGUGGAUGAAUACAAUUUAAUGACAUAGAUACAAAACUAACAUGCAUACAGACAUACAAAAAUACAAAAAUAUGUUGUAUUCCACAGGAUUCCAACAAAAUGAUAUUAUAAACUACAAAAGUUGUAAUCAAUUCAUAGUAUGAAAACAAAAUGAAGAUAAGAUUACAAAACUUGAUGGCAUACAGUUAGAAUGAAUACAAAAUUUAUGUAUAAAAACCAAUGAAAAACUGAUAAAUACAUUGUACUUUAGUAAUUUUUUUACAAAAGGGAAUACAUAUUAUAUUCCUAGAUUAUUUAAAUUUGAAAGGGAACAAGGGAAUACAUAUGCACAUAAAGCAAUUUUAUCUUCAUGAAAUUGUUCAUCCACCAUUUGAUCUUCAUCAACCUUUUCGACUUCACUACUAGUAGACGAAGAGCCUAUUGUUUUCUCUUCUUUUCAUUGUUUGUGUCCUUGCUAUUGAUAAUGUUUAUAUCUGUAAUUGAGGAAGGUUUUGCAUGCGAAUAGAGUCAUGUAGAUGGUUAGAUCUGCUUUCUUCCACCAUUCUAGCCGUCGAUCCUACGUUAUCGACUUGUUCUUGAGUGAUACAAAGAUCAAAAAAUGAAAAAAUCGAUUAUUAAAUGGAAUACCUCUUGUAGUCCUCUUUGAAUCCACCAUUAGAGAAGAAUUCUGAAUUUUUCCUUAUCAAAACCCCUAAUUGAAAAUAGAGGAUUUACUAAGCAAUUAUAUAAGCAAACACAUUGAAAGAUUUAAACAAAUGCAAAUCAAUAAAAUACAUAAAAAUAAAAAUACAUACCUAAAUCAAUGGAUUGUUGUGAAUAUCUUUUGGGAGAUUUUUACGAAUUUCUGAAAAUAAUUGAAAAAAGAAAACGUUACCUAUCAAAAGAGAAAGAGAUGGAAAUGAGGGAUUUGGAGUAAAAACCUAGAAAGAGGUGAAAGUGGGUAAUGAAGUAAAAAUAAAUCCAAUGUGGAACUGAUUUGAGAAAUAAAAGGAAAGGAAAUUAAUUAUAUUAGGAUACAUUAUAUUUUCUAAAAAAUAAUGACAUAUUGACAUUUUUAAUAAUUAUUUUAAAGUAUAGAUGUUUUUAAUAAUUAUGUUAGAAAUUAUGACUAGUUUUCUAAUUUUCACUUUAAAAAGAGAAAAUCGAGCUUUGAAUAUGGAAGAACACAAAGGGAGGGAGGAGGAAAUUAACGAAGAAAUUAGGAAGAAUAAGAAGGACGGACGGAAGGAAGGAAGAGAGAAGAAGAAGUCAUAAUUUCCAGAAGAAGAAGACCAAAGAAGGCAAAGAAGAAACCGCAAAUUGCACUUCGCUUUCCAUAAAAAAUUGCCAAAUGACCAUUUUUUAUUUGGAAUUUUACACAAAUCUUGUAGUGUUAUGAGCUAAUUACAUUUCAUCUCUACUCUUUUUCAAAUUACAAAAUUCCUUGAAUUUGGUGGAAUUUGAAUACAUCCAAAAACAUCUGGAUACAUUGCGUCCAGGUUUCAGAUACAUCGCUCAAUGCCCUAAUACAUCGUGUCUCAGUUUUAGAUGCAACACUCAACGUUCUGAUACAACACUCAACGUUUCGAUACAUCACGUACAUUUGGAUACAUCACGUAAGGUGAUGUAUUCAACCGAUACAUCGCGUAAAGUGAUGUAUCCAAUCGAUACAACGUGUAAAGUGAUGUAUCCAACUGAUACAACGCGUAAAGUGAUGUAUCCGAGAAUAAGAGAGAAUAUAAAUUUUUGUAAUUUUUUCAAAUGGUAAAAUAUUUUGGAGAAUAUGAUAAAAAAUAAGUUGUUUAUUUAUGUAAUUUUUCCUUUUCUAUUCAAUAAAAUAAUAAUUGAUUUAUUUUGGGUAAGGAUUUAUGAUUGAAGGGUCGUUUUGCUUAAUUAUUCCUUUAUUUAAUGUGUUGAUUUACUUGAUGUUUAAUUUUUUAUUGGGUUCAAAAUUUAUUGUAUACAUUAAUUGUGACAUGGUAAAUACAUUAUGUAUAUUUUGUUUGUAUACAUUAUUAGUAUACAUAUCUAGGUUUUUUAAUAAAUGAAAUUUUAUGUAUAAUGUAGCGUAUUUUUAUUAUAUAUAUAUAUAUAUAUACACACACAUACAUACAUACAUUAAACUAUAUUCUAAAUUAUCGUUAUAUACAUUUAUUUAAUGUGUUAAUUUAGUUGAUGUAUACUUUUUUUAUUUUGUUCAAAUUUAUGAUAUACAUUGAUUGUGUCAUGAUAAAUAGAGCAAGUAUACAUUACUUAUAAUUAGUUUGUUUACAUUAUAAAUAUACAUAAUUAUGCUGUGUAGCUAUUGAUGUGUACGUUUGAUAGGUAUAUUAUUUUUUGUCAAAAUAUUUUAAUGCAUAUAAUUAGGUUUGUAUACAUAUUGUCAACUGUGUACACAUAAUACUUACAUAAACACUAGACUGAGGCUAUUUAGAGUCAAUUUUAUCUAUAACUUUACAUACCAUGUCAUUUUUUAUUUGUAAUGUAAAGUUUUGCAUUUUUUUGUGUAAUGUAGGUUAGGUAAUUAUACUUUUGUGAAUUUUUUCCUUAGUUAAAAGAUCUAUUAGUUAUAAAAUUUAUUAUCACAUAUAAAAUUUCAAUUUCAUAAUCUUAGUUGAAAUAAUAUACAUGACAUACAUACUCAAACCCAACAAAAAAGAAAAAAACUUGUAUUGUCGCAAAAUAUAAACAAGAUAACUCUUAAUUUAUUUUAAAGACAAAAAAUAUAAUUUUUAUCUUGUUCAAAUAAGAAAUUAUUUAAUGUAUAAAAUCUGCUUGAUAUAAAGCUCUUAUAUGUAAAGAAAAACAAACAAGUAAAAAUUUAAAAGCCAUAAAUUUAAUCAACUUUAAAGUCUUAAAUAUUAUGAUAAUAACUAAAUGACAAUUAUUUGAGGAAAAUAGUAAAUGACUGUUUUGUCUAUUGUAGGUUCUUUUAAUGAAGGGCAAAAAGUUCAAUGAACAUUUCUAAGAAUCUUCAUACUUUAAAUAUAAUAUAGAUAAUGGAGAAAAACAAUAUUCAUAUAAAAUUUAACAUAAAUUAUACAAUGUUUGGUUAAUUUUUUAUUUUACACAUAAAAUAUAGCAUUGAUAAUACAACAUUUACUUUAUAUUUUUUUUGCAUAACAAAUACAUGAAUAAAUUAUGAGAAAAUUAUAUAUAUUAUCUUAUGCAAUGUAGAAGAUAUAAUAACCAAAACUAUUAGUAAUACUUGGAUAGAAACACAAAAUGACAAGAAUAUAUAUCCUCUAUUGUAACUUGUCUUUUUUCUAUUUAAAAAGCUAACAAUUCUAAUAGAAUAAAUUAGACAAAUAAAAAAACGUACACACAUUACAUAUUUAUAAUAUUAAUCCCCUACAUAACUUGUUAGGAAAUAGUGGAAUAUGCAUCUAAUUUUGAUGAUUGAUAAAGUGAACAUAAUUCACUAUUUGUUGUCUUAUAUAUAUUUUAUCAGGUGAAUUAGUUCCCCAGACAUGUAGAAUGGACAAAAACAUCAUGUACAAAUAUAAAAAGAUUAAAUUAAAGAGAGAAAGAAUAAACAACAAAAUAGAGAAGCAAAAAGAGGAAAUAAAUAACAAAAAUAAAGAAGGAAGGAGGGAAAUAAAUUAAUAGUGAAAAUAGAGGACCAAAGAAGGAAAGAAAUAAAGAGCGAGAAUAAAGUCCAAAGAGAAGUCAACAAGCAGAAUGUAAAAGAAAGGAAAUCACAAAUUUUCUUAUAGGAUGCAAUGUUUUAUUCGAAGUAAAAUUUCUAAUACAUGAUAUUAUAGGACAUGAAAAAUCACCAACAUAUAUAUGACAUAAAGAUUUACCAUGGGUCGCACCAAUUGCAUAUUUCAGGAAUUCAUCUUGAGAGCAAUAGCCAUUAGAGCAAACUGAAGGAUUUCAUUGCAACAACAUUGAACCUGGUUUACUAGUUGUUAGGUAUAGUCGAGUCUGUACGGUUGACUAUUGAUGUUUUGUUUGAUUAAGAGUUGUUUUAUGGUUGAAGUUUGUUUAGUUGAAGCCUAGAUUUCUUAGUCUUUGUUGAGUUCAUCAGUUGGAGCAAAUUGACGUGCUUGAGGGCUAAAGUUAUUAGUCUUUGUUGAGUUCAUUAAUUGGAGUAAGAUUAUGUAUUUGAAGGCUAAAGUUAGUUAGUUUUUUUUAUUGAGUUCAACAAUUGGAGAAAAUAAAUGUGUUUAAGGUACAAGAGUUAGUCUCUUUGAUUAUAUAGUCGUAAUCUAAAACCUCUCUUUGAGAUUAGUGCAGGUUGCUGAAAAUCCUACACACUGUAGGUUGUAAUUUCUACUCUCUUAAGAAAGGAGGUAUUUCAUUGUAAAUCAUUAUGUAAUGCUGUCUUAUUUUGCACUUUAUUUUAUUAGUUGAACUCGAUUAACCUAAGUCAAAUCUGUUACAUAGUAAUUAAGUCUAUUGUAGGGUGCUAUAAUAUUCAAUUGGUAUAAUAACAUGUCUUUUCAUCAUAAGAUUAACUCCUUCAAAUGGAUCAUAUGGUUGCGCCACCAACUGCUCAGGAAGGCGGUUUAACCACCAGAUCACCCCUCUUCAAUGCAAUAUACUAUGAGUGGUGGAAGAAUGAUCUGGGGCAUAUUUACGCGUCUAAGCACUACAUUUUAUUAAUAUUUUAGUUUAAUUCUGAGAAUAAAAUCACGUAUAUUUAUGUAUUUUAAGUAUAAUUGUUGUGAAGAGCUAAUAUAUGUGAUAGACUAUAGGCUAAAACACAACAAGAAUUAACAUGAAAGGAGUAAAACUCAAAGUUAAACAUCUCAAAUAGAAAUGAAGCCAAGGUAGUGUAGAUAUAAGGGUCCGUAGUGUGAGGCACACACUCCGCAUUAGAUACCGUGCCACACAUAUCAUGGCACUUUAAAAGUGGGAAAAAGGCAUGUCCUAGUAAUGAUCCACCGACAUGAGACCCUAAUGUAACACCUCAAAAAAUGGAAAGUUGAAAGGAAAGGAAAAUUCAGAUUUUUGGCACUGAGGCAGUGACUAUGAGUUCUAUUUAUGGAGCAUAGGAAAUUCUACGGACUGUAAAAGGGAAGUCGUAGGGUUGAGAAAAGUUUUUUGGAAAAAUUCAAGUUUCUGAAGUUUGACCUACGAGUAGCCAGGACGAGCCGUAUAAAUUUGGACAGGUCGUAGAUGACACUCGUAGAACUGAACAAGACUUAGUGAAAUUUUGGACUUGAACAUGUGUUCUAUUGAAUUUUGGGUUUCUAAAGUUGGUUCUAGGGUUGACCAGUACGGUCCGUAGAAAGUUCUACGGAUCGUAGGUCCAACCGGUAGAUCACUCUGACAGUUAUUUUUUAAGGAUAUUUGGGUAUUUUCCUAUGCAUUUAAUGCCUAUAGUAUGUCGUUUUGACCCUAAUUCUAAGUCCUAUAAUUACCUUUUAAUCCCUAAAUCUACCCAAACCCUCUCAUUCUCUCAAAUUCUCAAAUUUCAUCAAAACUCAUCAUCUCUCAAGUUCAAGGAAGAAAUUAAGGCUUCAAGCUUCAAGUCUCUGUAACGACCCGUUAGGUAGUUUUGAGCAGUAGGACUAUUUUGACUCUUCCCAUAAAAAAUUAAAUGGAAAUUUUGAACUAUUUGGUAACACAAAUUAUUUAAUUAGUUAACAAAUAUUUAUUAUAUAAUUAAAAUAGCUGACAAUUAAUGGACCAAGUCCAUAAUUUAUUUAAUAUCCUUACCACUUGGCCCAUGUGUUGAAAUAAGUUAGUGAAAUUUAAUAUUUUUAAAUCAUAGUUUGAGUAAGUAAAAGAAAGGCGAAAGAGGAAAAGGAACGCCGCAAGACGAGAAGACCACAUUCAAAUAAAACUUCAAAUUUUGAACUCUUUAUAAUGGAUUUUAGGUUCAGAGGCAUUAGAUGUUCAAUUAAUGUUGUGUUCUACGUGGGUUAAAAAAAAAGAAAGUUAGAGAAUUUUUUUAAUUUGGAGACAAUUUUCAAUGGCAAAAUUAUUUAAGUAAUGAUUGUAAUUUUUGGGGGUAAUCAUGAUAAUGAGUGGCUAGUGAUGUAAAGAACCAUUGUUGACAUCGAGGAGGCCGUCACCUGAGUUUGAAUCUGAGUCCUACAAUGGAAGAAAUAUCAACAGUCAAAAGAGAUAAAGAUCGAGUUAGUGGGUACCUUUUUCUCACUGGCAAUCAACGUUUCGAUCUACCAGAGAUCCCUUCACCCACCUCAACUGAUGAUUACGAUCGAGAGGUCCAGCUGGGAGCUCAACUUGUUGAGCUCCAUGGCUAAUCGAUGAAGAGGUCGUGGUGGAGAUGCUAUUCCAGAGGACUGACCUUUCCACUUUCCUUUUCUGAUGUUUUUGUUCUAUUUAAUUUAUUGCUGAUUUUAUGGACUUAGCACUUUGGGCUAAGUUCAUUUGUAUAUUUCUAUCAUUUUAAUAAAACGGGCCUCCCGGGUCUUUAAAAAAAGAAGGGUGAAUAGGAACUGGGUGGCAUCUCUCAUAUUAUUUAUUUCCUUUUUCGUUCUAUCCAUGGUGAGGAGUUACAAAUAGUGUAAUUGUUUUGAUUUCGGUUUCCUUUUCAUGAUUUUUAGAUUGAUACAAGUUUUGAUAUAGUGGGUCAAGAAAUUAAAUAUUAGGUGUAUUGUGUUAUAUAAAUAUCAUGAAAAUUUUGUUAUUUGGAGGAAUUAAGACUUAACCCUAGACUUGAAUUUAGGAAAUAUCAGACUUGACAUAUUAAGUGGCAUCAAGAUUAAGAACUUGAUUUUAGAUUUGGGUACAGGAGUCCGAGCUUGAAUUAUCUUGGAGUUGUGGUGAGUUGCUUAGCGAUUACGUGGCCCACACCUCCAUCUAUCUCAUUAUUUAUUCUGUUAUUUUAGUAUUUAGACAAGAUAUUUCUUACGUUUAGACUUCUCAUUUGAGUUUCAUACAUGCACCAUAUUGUAGAAGCUCUUGUACUUACGACACCAAAAUCUCGGGUGGUAUUUCCGCUUUUCGCGCUUCAUACUCUUGACAGACAUAGUGUUUGAGAUAAUCUACUUGUUGUUUAUAUUUUCACUUUAAUUAGUUAGUUAAAUUGGUAAAACAAGUGGGUAGGCUUACCUAUCGGAUGAGAACAUAUGUGCCAUCACGACAUAUGAAUUUUGGGUCAUGACAAUAUAGUAUCAGAGCCCUAGGUUCAUCAGUUUCACGAGUACAAGAGCAAUGUCUAGUAGAGUCUUGCGGAGCAGUAUGAUGACAUCCAUACUUAUCUUCGAGAGGCUAAAUGACAUUUAUGAAACUUCUAUUCUUUAUUUCCUUAUUGUGCACACUUGACUUUGUUGAAAUAUCAAUCUUGUUGUCUCUUUCUCUAACAAAUAGUGAGGACUCGUGCAUCCGCAAUAAUAUUUUUUGUGGAGCUUGUACUCACUCCUGCAUCCAGUACUAAGGUUAUUGCACGAGGUAUAUACAAAGGCUGAGGUCGAGAUAGAGGUUGUGCUAUAUCAUAUUUGGCUAAUAAGCAUGUCAUGAUUGUUGAUAAGUAAAAGGUGUUUGCCAAGUUCAGGAUAUUGAAUCCUCCAACAUAUAAUAGUGACUUAAAUAAUGAUGUGUAUGUAUUUAUAGUUAGCUAUCAUAAAAGGAUGCACAAUCUUGGAUUAGUGGAGUCCUAUGGAGUUGACUACAUUGUGUUUCAAAUGAUUGGCAUUACCAAGUAGUGAUGGAUAUAUUACAUUGAUAGUAGGCCAAUUGGAUCACCUCCACUAUCAUGGACUCAAUUUACUCAUGUAUUUCAAGAUGAGAUUGUUCCACGUUAAAGGGAGCGCAAGAGGGCCAAGUGUGAGGAGUUGCAUCAAGAUGGUAUAUUAAUCACAUAGUAUAAGGUUAAAUUUCAUGCCUUGUCUAGACACACUUUGAUGAUAUUUCUCACUGAUGCUAAGAGAGUGAGAAAGUUUUUUAAGGGGUUGAUUAUUCUGAUUCGUAUGAGAGUUUCUCAUGUUGCCGCUUUUGGUGUUCCAUUUUAGAAAGUUGUAGAUGUGGCCAAGGAGUUAGAGAUGAUUCAACCUGUGAGAUUUAAGAAACGUGAGGAAAAUAAGGUUGUCAUUCGAGUUGGAUAUGGUAUUCAAGUAACUUGAUUUGCCGGUACAUAUUUCUACUUUUGUUGGAGAAUUCAUAGUGGUAGAUUGAGUAUAUCGAUCGUGUAUAGUUACUUUGAUGAGACAUGAUACUCGAGUGGAUCUGAAAGACUUAUAUAUGAUGUGUUUUUGAUGUUAUUCUGGGAAUGAAUUGGUUAUCUCCUUAUCAUACGAUUUUGAAUUGCCAUGCUAAGACAAUUACAUUAGCUAUGCUUGGUAUUCCUAGUGGAGAGAUUUUCUUAGUCACAGUUCAAAAAGGAUGAUAUCAUUUAUUAAGUCUCAUCGCUUAGUGGAGUGAGGAUGUUUAACUUACUUGGCCUAUAUUUGAGACACUAGUGUGGAGACUCCUAUGCUUGAGUCUAUUCAAGUGGUGAGUGAAUUUUCAGAGGUAUUUCCAACACGCUUACUAGAUUUUCCACCUGAUCGUGAUAUUAAUUUUUGUAUUGACUUAGAACCAGACACUCAACAUAUCUCUAUUCCUCCUUAUAAUAUGGCACCGGCUGUAUCAAAGGAGUUGAAGGAUCAUUUGCAGGAUUUGUUGAGCAAGAGAUUUAUUAGAUCGAGUGUAUCUCCUUGGGGUGCUCCAGUGCUAUUUGUGAAAAAUAAAGAUGGAUCUAUGCGUAUGUGUAUUGAUUAUCGAUAGUUGAACAAUGUUAUCAGAAAUAACUACAUGAUAUCUCAUACUAGUGAUUUAUUUGAUUUGCUUUAGGGUGCUUAAGUUUUCUCCAAGAUUGACUUGAGUUCUGGUUAUCAUUAGUUGAAGGUUAGGGCGGAAGGUAUCCUCAAGAUAACUUUUCGAACAUCUUAAGGCGAUUAUGAGUUUCUGGUGAUGUUUGUUGGGUUGACUAAUGCCCCAACAACUUUUAUGGACUUAAUGAGUGGGGUGUUCACAAUGUACUUAGAUUCCUUUGUUAUUAUCUUCAUUGAUGAUAUACUGAUAUACUUCUGAAAUAAGGAGGAACACGAGCAUCAUUUGAGGAUUGUGCUUGGAUUCUGAAGAGAAGAAGCUCAUGCAAAGUUUUCAAAGUGCGAGUUUUGGAUUAGUUCGGUGACAUUCUUGGAACAUGUAGAGUCCAAAGAGGGUAUUAUGGUAGAUCCUAGGAAGAUUGAGGCAAUUCGAGAUUGGAUAGACCUGCUUCAGUUACUGAGAUUCAAAGUUUCUUAGGCUUUGCAGGCUAUUAUUGGUGAUUUGUAGAGGGGUUCUCAUCCAUUGCAUCCCCAUUAACUAAAUUGACCAAGAUGGAAGUGGCAUUCCAAUGUUGAGAUGAGUGUGAGGUGAGUUUUCAAAAGCUCAAGACUUUAUUGACUACUGCUCUGAUUUUGACUCUACUCGUGGAGGGAGAGGGAGAGGGUUUUUUAUUGUAUAUUGCGAUAAUUAUCUGAUUGUUCUUGGUUAUGUAUUUAUGCAGAAGGGGAAAGUAAUAGCUUAUGCUUCGAGACAAUUGAAGAUUCAUGAGAAGAACUACUCUACUCAAGACUUGGAGUUGGCGGCUGUAGUGUUUGCAUUGAAGAUUUGGAGGCAUUACCAAUAUGGGGUGCAUUGUGAGGUGUUCACGGAUCAUCGUAGUCUCCAAUAUAUAUUCAAUCACAGGUAUCUCUAUUUGAGGCAUGUAGCGGAGAUGGUUCGAGUUGCUCAAAGACUACGACAUGGCUAUCAUUUAUCAUCCGUGCAAGGCGAAUGUGGUAACAAAUGCCUUGAGUUGAAAGACAGUUAGUAUGGGUAGUCUAGCCUUGUUACAAGUUGGAGAGUAUCCUUUAGAUAAGGACGUCCCGUAUUUAGCUAAUAACUUUGUGAGGCUUGAUAUUUCAGAAUUGGGUAGGGUUUUGGCUUAUAUGGAGGUGAGGUCUUCCUUGUUGAAGAAGAUUCCAACUCAACAAUUUGAUGAUGUUGAUUUAUGUAAGAUUUGAGAUAAGAUGGUAAAAGGAGAAGCUAAAGAGGUAAUUCUUGAUGGUGAGGGGAGUUUUGAGGAUAAAGGGUCGUAUUUGUGUUCCUUAGACAAGUGAUUUGACUAGACUGAUCAUAGAGGAUGAGCAUUGUUCAAGGCACUCUAUUCAUCCGGGGGAUACUAAGAUGUAUCAUGACUUGAAGUAGCAUUAUUGGUGGUUUCGUAUGAAGAGGGACAUAGUAGAUUUUGUAUCUCGAUGUUUAAAUUAUCAGCACAUGAAGUAUGAACACCAAAAGCCUGGAGGUGUGACUCAAAAAAUGCUCAUACUGAGUGGAAGUGGGAGCUUAUAGAUAUGGACUCUAUGGUAGGGUUUCCACGUACCUUGGAUAAGUUUGAUGCUAUAUGGAACAUCGUGGACCAAUUGACUAAGUCUGCACACUUCGUACCACUUCAGACUACCUAUAAUUCAGAGAAGUUAGCUAAGAUCUACAUUCGAGAGAUUGUUCGCUUGCAUAGGGUGCCAAUUUCAAUCAUUUUUGAUUGUGGCACACAAUUUACCUCUCAUUUUUGGUGGUCUAUGCAGACGGAGUUGCGCACUCAGGUGGAUCUUAGUACAACCUUUCACCCUCAUAUUGAUGGUCAGUCUGAACAAACUAUUUAGGUUCUUGAAGACAUGUUACGAGCGCGUGUCAUCAACUUUGGUGGUCAUUGAGAUUAAUUUUUUCCUUUAGCAGAGUUUGCAUACAACAACAUUUACCAGUCGAGUAUUGCGAUUAUACCAUUUGAGGCUUUGUAUGGUAGGACAUAUCGAUCUCUAAUUAGUUGGUUUGAUGCAUUUGAGGUUAGGCCAUGGGGUACAUAUUUGUUGAGGGAGUCCUUGGAAAAGGUCAAGUUGAUCCAGGAUAGGCUUCUCAUGGAUCAAAGAAGGCAAAAGAGUUAUGUAGAUCGAAGGUUUCGUGAUUUGGAGUUCAUGGUUGGAAAGCAGGUUCUAUUGAAGGUUUCACCUAUGAAAUGUGUGAUGUGAUUUGGAAAGAAGGGCAAGUUGAGCCCGAGGUAUAUUGGUCCUUUUGAGAUUAUUGAGCGUGGUGAGGUGGCUUAUGAGUUGGCUUUGCCACCUGGUUUGUCGAGUGUUCACCUUGUAUUUUAUAUUCUGAUGCUGAAGAAGUAUCAUCAGGAUAGUGCCCAUGCGAUUCAAUGGGACUCUGUGUUACUUGAUUAAAAAAUAACUUUUGAGGAAGGCCCGAUAGAAAUCUUGGAUAGGCAAAUUCGAAAGUUGAGGUCGAUGGAGAUUGUUUUAGUAAAGGUUCAAUGGAAGCAUCGUCCGGUUGAGGAGGCUACUUGAGAGACCGAGUCAAACAUGUAGAUGAGUAAUCCUUAGCUUUCUGAGCGUUCAUGUACUUCCUAUUCUUUUACCAUUCGAGGACGAAUGUUUGUUUAAGUGGUAGAUGAUGUAAUGACCCUAUAGAUUGUUUUCAGCACUAGGACUAUUUUUACUCUUUCCAUUAAAAUAUAAAUGAUAAUUUUAAACUAUUAGGAAACUACAAUUAUUUAGUUAACAAAUAUUUAUUAAAUAAUUAAAAUAAUUGAUAGUUAAUGGACCAAGUCCAUAAUUUAUUUAAUACCCUUUACCACUUGGCUCAUGUGUUGAAAUAAGGUAGCGUGAUUUAAUAUUUUUAGAUCAUAAUUUGAGUAAGUACAACAAAAGAGAAAGGGACAAAGGAAUGCCGCAAGAUGAGAAGACCACAUUCAGGUAAGGAUUCCAAUUUUGAACUCUUCGUAAUGGAUUUUAGGUUCUGAGGCAUUAGGUGUUCAAUUAAUGUUGUGCUGUAUGUGGGUUCAAAAAAAAGAAAGUUCGAGAAAAGUUUCAAUGGAAAAUUAUUUAACUAAUGAUUGCAAUUUUGGGAGUAAUCAUGUAAUGAGUGGGUACUAAUGAAAAGAAGGGAGAAUAGGAAUUCAAGAAUUAAAUAUUAGGUGUAUUGUAUUAUAUAAAUAUCAUUAAAAUUAUGUUAUUUGGAGAAAUUAAGACUUAACCCUAGGCUUGGAUUUAUGAAAUAUGAUAUUUGACAUAUUAAGUGGCAUCAAAAUUAGGAACUUGAUUUUAGAUUUGGGUACAAGUGGUUUUGUACUCAUACUACACUAGUUGCACUCUUAUGUGGUGCAAAUCCGAUUCCGAAUACAAGCACAUCUCGUGGAGCUUUCUAAGUCCGAGCUUGGAUUAUCAUUGAGUUGUGGUGAGCUUCUUGGUUGUUCCGUGGCCCACACCUCCCUCUAUCUCAUUAUUCAUUCUCUUAUUUUAGUAUUCAUAUAAGAUAUUUCUUACGUUUAGACUUGUCAUUUGAGUUUCAUACUUGCACCUUAUUUUUAGAAGCUCUUGUACUUAUGACACCAAAAUCUCAGGUGGUAUUUUAGCUUUCUGUACUUCAUACUUAUGAUAGACAUAGUGUUUGAGAUAUUCUACUUGUUGUUUAUCUUCUCACCUUAAUUACUUAGUUAAAUUUGUAAAACUAGUGGGUUGGCUCACCUAUCGGGUGAGAACAUAGGUGCCAUCAUGACAUGUGAAUUUUGGGUCGUGACAGUUUCCUUCUUCCUCUAUUGCUUUUGAGCUUUGAUCAUCAAGGUAUGUGGGAAUUCACAAAUGAAUUCAAUUCAUCCAUUGGGUCCUAAAAGAUUUCUAAGUUUCCACUUCAAUUCCAUCAGUUUGGUUAGAGUCUAUCUUUCGAUUUUUGAAAAUUCUUUUCACAAGAUUUCGACUAUAAGAAUUUGUCUUUCUUUUGCGGUCAAUGCCGUCAAUGGAGAGGCAAUCGAAGAAAAACCUUCCACAAACGUUCUAUAGUAGCCAUUUUAACCCAAUAAACUUUUAAUUUCCGAAGGGGAUAGAGGUCUAGGCCAACUCUUAACCGCAUCUGUCUUCUUAGGAUCUACCUCAAUACCCUAUCUGGAAAAAAUGUGACCAGAAAAGCCAUGGAUCUUAACCAAAAUUUGCACUUACUAAACUUUACAAAAAGUUGUUGGUCCUUGAGGACUUGCAACAAAAUUCUCAAAUGAUCGGUAUGCUCUUCUUCACUCCUUGAAUAGAUCAAGAUAUAAUCGAUGAACACAAUCACAAACAUGUCAAGGUAUUGUCUAAACACCCUAUUCAUCAAAUCCAUGAAUGCGGCUGGAGAAUUAGUCAACCCAAAUGAUAUCACCAAAAAUUCAUAGUGACCAUAUCGAGUCCGAAAAUCCAUCUUCGGAAUGCCAUCUUCCUUCACCCUCAAUUAGUGAUAACCCGACCAGAGGUUGAUCUUAGAAAAGUAACUUGCUCCUUGAAGUUGAUAAAAAAAGUCAUCUAUCCUUGGGAGAGGAUACUUAUUCUUAAUGGUAACCUUGUUCAAUUGAUGGUAUUCGAUGCACAUACGAAGUGAACCAUCUUUCUUUCAAACAAACAAAACUGGAGCACCCCAUGGAGAGAUACUCAGUCGGAUGAAACCCCUAUCCAACAAAUUUUUCAACUGCUAAUUUAAUUCUAUAAAUUAUGUCAAAGCUAUUCAAUAAGAAGGAAUAGAGUUACGUUGCAUAUCUGGAGAAGGUCAAUACUGAAGUCUAUUUCCCUUUUGGGAGGAACAGUAGUUAUAUCAUCGCGAAGCACUUCCGGAAACUCAUUAACAAUGGGGACCGACUUAAGAGUAGGAGUUUCAGAAUCUAUAUCCCUCACCCUAACUAGAUGGUAUAUACAACCCUUAGAAAAAUCUUCCUAGCCUUAAGACAACAAAUAAACUGACCUUUCGACAUAGGAUUUCCCCUAUCCACUUUAGGAUAGGCUCUUUCGGAAGCUGAAACUGACCACGGGGGUUCUACAAUCAAUAGAAGCAUAAAAAGAAUGCAACCAAUCCAUACCAAGGAUAACAUCGAAAUAUAACAUAUCAAGCUCUACAAGAUCAACAUGGGAGACUUUAUGAGAUAAGGAGACGGGACAAUUUCUAUAGAUUCUUUUGGAACAAUAGAUUCACCAAUAGUUGUAUAGACAAAAAAAGGGUCUAAUAACACAUCCGGAAGGAUAUCAAACCUCAUAGACACAUAUGGCGUCACAAAAUACAAGGUAGCACCGGGAUCAAGCAAAGAAAAAAAAUCAAGAUGAAAGACUUUCAACAUACCAGUAACCACAUCGAGAGAACCCUCUUGCUAAUGACGAGUUUGAAGUGCAUAAAAUCUAUUUUGCUUUGGAGCACUUGAACCUGAAAAGAUAGGCGGAGCUUGUCUACCUUCUCUUCCCUUAGCCAUAAGUGAUGGACAAUCCCUUAUCUUAUGACCACUCUUACCACAACCAAAGCAAUCAUCCAUACUGGCUAAGCAUUUACCCUCAUGCUUCCUUCCACAUUUAGCACAAAUAGACGAUGAAGAGCCACCACCAUUUUCUCCUUGAGGUUUAGGGUUAGACACCCAUUAUAUUUUGAAUUUAGGAGGAGCAUUAGAGGAACCUUGACUGGAAAACCUUUGUCGGAACUUAGAACGAUCAUGCCCAUCAGAUCUUGAAUGUGAAAAGUCACCUUCAUCGGUCCCUGCCUUCUUUGCCUCUCUAGAUCUUUCCUUAAGUAUCUCUUCUUCCAUUUGUUAAGCAUACAUCAUCAGCCGAGAAAUUUCAAUAUCAUUGAUGAACAUAGCGGUAUGACAUUCUUUGUUAACCACUCGAACACUCCCAAAAUAAACUUACUCAUACUUGCCCUAGGAUCAACAACCGUAGUAGGAUCAUACCUAGACAAUGGUAUGAAUUUCAAGACAUACUCUUUUAUACUCAUGCUUCCUUGAUAAAGGUUGAUGAAUUCAAGUACCUUUUCCUCCCUCGUCUCAAGGGAAAAGAAUCUGUCACGACCCGAGAGCAUCCCCAAGUCGUAACAUGCGUAUUCGACCUCUCGGAGGUCUCAUACAAGCCCUUAGCAUUCAUCACAUUAGAUAUGUAAAAUAGUGCGGAAUUAAAAACUCUUUAAAUAAAAUCUCAUAAGAGUCAAAGGUCACUUUUAAAAACAUCAUUCAAAAGUACACAAGCGGAAUACUAAGUCUCUUAGCCAUCUUAGACAUAAACGUGAAAACAUACUGGGGGACUACAACCUCCCUAUUGGCUUGAGCCGUCAUGGCUUGGGCCAAUACUUGAAAAAAAGCUCUAAACUCUACAUCAGUCACUUGCUCGACCAAAGGGUCGACCGAAAUUUAAGGAGCUUUUUGUUCCACAUUCUCAUUCCUAUUCCUCCUAACAGAUGCUCUUUGAGGGGCCAUAUCCUAAUAAGCAUCGGGUACGGGUUAGGAGAAAGACAUAUAGAGUUACAAUCUAUUGCACAACUUUAGAGUAAUGAAAAAAGUGGAGUUCCCUAAUCAUCUUACAGUUUCUUAUUCAUAAAUGUGGCGCCCUUCAACUCAUGAACAACACUCUAUUCGACGUGGCUUAUGAGACUUCCUAGGACCUUUCUAAACCUUGUGCUCUGAACAACAAGUUUACACGACCCAAAGUACACCUUAGUCGUAACAUGGCGUAUAGUUACCUGAAAGACCGUAUACAAGCCACUUAGCAUACAUCAUACAAGAUACAAGUAUUUAAAAAGUUCAAAAGACAUUUUAUAUCAUAAAGAGUUUGAUAAAAACGAAAGUCUACCAUAAAUCUCAAAGCCAUCUAUUAUAUCAUAAGGCAGUGAUUGGAACGUAAUCCAUACAUCACUUACAAAAUUUGAAAUGAAAAGACAUGAAAGCAAUAAAAAAGUCUCAGUCCUUAGAACCUAAGGACCACCAAUCUUCAAUGUCUAUAUGGGAUCACUAGCCAUGAGUGUACGGAAUGGAAACGUCGGACCCUACAUUAGUGAAACAAUGUAGGCACUAGUAUGCAUAAGUACAUGGAAUGUACUAAGUAUAAUAGAAAUGUAUAAGAAUGAUAAAAUCAUGCUAAAAGGGGUUUUAUAUGACAUGCAAUGACCAAGUUAAAUCAUAAAAUAAUAUUUUAGAAGACAUAAGUCAAAAUCAUGGUCAAUGCAGGCUAAACAUCUUUAAAACAUAUUUGAGAUACUCUGAGAAGUAACCUUAGUUCAUAAUUGUGGAAAGUUUGCCAUUAACUAAUAUAGGCCAUGUGAGCUAUAACAUGGAAUCUGGUGUCUAUCACACAUUGAAAAGAGAUGUUCUUACUUGCUGAGGUAAGAACCAAUAACUUAUAGAUUAGGUAGAUCCACUAGCUAGUGUCUAUCUAAGACACACCUAUGGUGGCACAUAUUUAUGGGAUAGGGAGAUUUCAACUAGAAACCCGACCUCAUCUACGGGAGAGAUUCCAUCUCAAUAUCCUCUCGGUGCUAAGCAUAAAUCCCACGGAAUAGUCAUUAGUAAUAUUCAUCUUAUUAUCCAUGAAAAGAUACAAUCAAGUAGCCAAUCCAAGAUAGAGUUCAUUAGAAUAGCUCCGAAAUCUUGAUUCAAAGUUUAGUUGAGAAAACCUUUCAACCUUAUUAAUCCUUCAUGUGAGAAAACCCUUUCACAUUCAUGUUUUGAGUAGUGUGUAAGAAAUACUCUUACAACAAUCAAAAACAUCGAUGCUUCACUCUCAAAGCAACCUUAAAUCAUUUAUAUCAAUUUCAUAAAGAAACAUGCAUAUCUUCAUAAAUUCAUCUUUCAUAGUUCAAAAACCCCAUCAUAAGAUCAUAGUCUAGAAAUCAUGGAUUACACAUGGGAUCAUGGGAAUUCAACUUUAAAAAAUGCAAUUACUUGAAUUCAUGCAUAAAAAGACAUAAAACAAUCAAUUGGAUCGUAAUUUAGAAGAACCCAUGAGAUGAAUGAAAACCCUAACUUCAAUUGGAAAAUUCUAACUUGUAAAAUUGGAGAAUUUAGGAACCCUAUGGAGGAAAAAACUCCUUAGGUGAAUACUAUCAUACCUUGAUGUCAAAAGCCCACAAUCAUUGGUGAAUUGGGAGAAUUGAUCUUGGAGCCCUAGACUUCUUCUUCAAGCUUUCGAGAGAGAAGUAUUAGGGAAGAACUUUGAUCAACUUUUGAGAAUUUAGGAGAAUGAGUUCAAUUGGGAAAUUUGGGGGUCAAUUUGUAAAACAACCUAGUAUUGGGUUAAAGCAAUUAGGAAAGACCCAAAAGCCCUUAAAAUCAAAUUGCUGAACCUCGACUGACGGUUUAGACCUAUGGUCCAUAGGUCCUACUACGGACUGUCCUAGUCGACUAUAGGUGGGGUUUAGGGACUUCAAUAUGGAUCUUCAAAUGACGGGGCCCAUUUACAGUUCGUAGGUCUACAUAUGGACCGUGCAUGGUCAUCGUAGGUUCUAAAAAUUUCCCAAUUUUUUUUAUUUCAGUUUCCCUCUCACCUACGGAUGCCACCUAAGGUCCAUUAGUUCUCUUACCAACUGUAGGUCACACCUACAACCCGAAUCUGCAUUUUCCCAUUCUUUUCAAAUCCGAGGUGUUAUAGAAAUUCCACCAUAAAAGUAUAGAUCAAUGAAAGUCAGCCCAAAACAAGUAGUAGAAAACUCACAUUCCAGUCAAGUGAUGUAACAUCCUUGCUUUUCUUAGUUGCUUGACUUUCCAAAUGCUUCAAAACCAAAAUUUUUGGAGGCCUCCUUUCGAUUGUAGAAUUACAUGGACCAUCUCGAAUAGUCCAAAUUCUAGCAGUGGAGUCUCCGGACCUAAAGUGAUAUUACACAUGGUUAACUAUAAGAGCCAAUAUUUCUUAGAUGAGUCUAAAACUACUCUCAACCUUUUAACUAAGAGAAAAAAAUAGAAGUAUGAAUAUGAACGUUAGUUGAUUCAUAGACGACAGCAAAAAAGAAAGAAAUGGUAUUUAUGUUUACCGAGAUGCAAUUAGUGACCCUUCUAGACUCCAAGCAUAGACAAAAACCUAGCAUGAGUUUAGAAACAAGAGAGAAUUGUAAUGUUAAUAUAGAAUACAAAAAAUAGAAGAUAUACAUAUUCGAUCACCUAUCGAGAAAUCAUGGCGAACCUCAGAUGUAUGUCCUUCCAAAACCAUUACAUAUACUCACUUCUUUGUCCUGUUCACUGUUUUUUUCUCUUCUGUUGUUUCUCCUUCUCCCUUUAUCUUGCAGGUUCUCGUUUGUGGUCAGCAUUUGCCUUAUCCUUCCGCCUAGGUUUAUCUUUAUGAAGGUUUUGUUUUUUCUCUUUUAUUAUUUUCUGCAUCUCAUACACAUUCUUUGUAAGGAGAUCCAAAAGCUCUAGAAACUUGAAGUCUUCAUCCGUAUCGGUAUCCAGGGGCGGAUCUAUGUGUAUGGGUGGGGUGCCACGACACCCAGUGAUCUUGGUAAAAAAAUUAUAUAUAUAUAUAUGUGUGUGUGUGUGUGUUUGUGUGUGUGUGUGUAUGUAUAAGAUUACUAAUAUAUUAACUUUGCCACCCACUAUAUGAAAUGAUGAAUGGUUUCGUUGGCAAAGGACUGAAACUGUCGCACCGCAAUGCGAGUUUAAUUCUUGCUAUGAACACUACUUUUUUUCUUGCUAGAUCCGCCUCUGUCGGUAUCAUCCUGCAUUCCGUAGUUAUUAUUGGUUAGUUCAGAGUUAUAAAAGAUCUAAAUUUCAUAUAGAAAAAUUAAAUUAUGUAACACUUAGGAUUUGAAAGGAAGGAAAAAGUUGCAUAUUUUCUUAGCUGGUGUCUGCAUCGAUGGAUCCCACUGACGAACUGUAGGUUCACUUACGGGCGUAGGUGGGAACCGUAGGUGGUAGGUGUAAAUAAUUUUAGAAGUCAAGUUUGAGUACUCUUUUUACGGUUCACCAGGACGGUCCGUCGUUCAGUGUACGAGUCGUUGAUAGGUCUCGUAGGUGAGUUCCAGACUUAGUGAAACUAUGAGGGUAAAAGUGGGGAUCGAUGGUUGGUAUGAAUGGUCUAUAAGUGGACCUAUGGACCAUACAUGGUAUCCGUCGAAAGUGGGUAAAAUUUAAGGUCCUAAUAAUUUAUCUACAGUUCACCAGGGCGGUUCGUAAGUGAACCUACAGACCGUAGGUCGAGUCAGCCAUUAAUUUUUUAAGGGCUUUAUGGUCUUUUCCCUAAUUGAUUAAUGCCUAAACUAGGUCCUUUUGAUCCUAAUCCUAGAAGCUAUAUAAGUCUUCUAAGCCUAAAAUCUAACUAUUCUAAAUCAUUCUUCAAAGUUCCCCAAAUCCCUCCAAAGUUCUUACCCCAAAUAUUUCUCUUUCUAAAGCUUGAAGAAGAAGUCUAGGGUUUCAAGAUCAAGUCUCCAUUCUCCACUGAUUGUGGGUUUUUUCCAUAAAGAUAUGAUAGUAUUCACAUAUGGAGUUCUUUCCCCAUAGGUUUGUCUUAGAUAGACAUUAGCUGGUGGAUCCACUUAAGCUAGAAGUUUAUGGUUCUUACCUUGGCAAGUAUGGACAUCUCUUUUCGGUGUGGGAUAGACAUUGGAUCCCAUUUUGUAACUCAUAUGGUCUAUGUUGGGUAAUGCAAACUUCCCACAAUAAUGAACUAAGGUUACUUCUAGAAGUAUCUCAAAUGUGUUUUAGCUUGCAUUGACCAUGCUUAUGAAUUAUAUUUCCUAACACGUUAUUUUAUUAUUUAUCUUGGUCAUUGUAUGUCAUAUAAAGACCUUUUUAGCAUGAUUUCAUAACUCUUAUGCAUUGCUAUCAUACUUGGUAUAUUCCAUGUACUAACACAUACUCUUGCCUACAUUGUUUCACUAAUGUAGGGUCCGACGGUCCUACCUCCCAUACUCGUGGCUAGUGAGCCCUUUAGACUUUUAAUAUUGGUGAGUCCUCAUGUUCCAACGUCCGAGUCUCUUUUAUUGAUUUCAUGUCUUUUCAUUCAGAUUUUGUAUUUCAUGUAUGGGUUGCGUCCCAAUCACUCCUAUGAUGUAAUAGAUGACUUUGAGACUUAUGUUAGAAUUCCGCUACUUUUGUCAAACUCUUUAUGAAUCGAAAAUGUCGUUUGAACUCUUUAAGAUUCUAGUAUCUUGUAUAUGUAUGCUAAGUGGAUUGUAUAGAGUCUCUCGGGGUCCUAUGCUCCAUGUUACGACUAGGGUGUACUUUGGGUCGUGACAAACUUGGUAUUUAGAGCACAAGGUUUAGAAUGGUUCUAGGAUGUCUCAAACCACGUCGAGUAGAUUCUUUUUCAUGAGUUGAAGGGUGCCACAUUUAUGAAUAAGAAACUAUAAGAUGAUUAGGGAACUCCACAUUUUUCAUUACUCUAAAGUUGUACAAUAGAGUGCAACUCUACAUGUCUUUCUCCUAACCCGUACCCGAUGCUUAUUAGGAUAUGGCCCCUCGAAGAGCAUAUGUUAGGAGGAAUAGGAAUGAGAAUGUGGAACAAAAAGCUCCUUAAAUUCCGGUCGACCCUUUGGUCGAGCAAGUGACUGAUGUAGAGUUUAGAGCUUCUUUUCAAGUAUUGGCCCAAGCCAUGACAGCUCAAGCCAAUAGGGAGGUUGUAGUCCCCCGUGAAUCCAAAUGUGGGUUAGAAGGCAUCUGGAGUGAGGGACUUCACUGGAAUGAAUCCUUCGGAGUUUCAUAGUUCCAAGGUUGAGGAAGAUCCUCAAGAGUUCAUUGAUGAAGUGCAUAAGGUGUUGAUGAUCAUGGGAGUGACAUCGGUGGAAAAGGUGGAAUUGGUCGCUUAUCAACUUAAGGGUGUUGCUCAAGUUUGGUUCAACCAAUAGAAAGAAGAGAGAGCAGUUGAUGUGGGUCUUCUUUAUUGGGAAAAGUUUAAGGUCGCUUUCCUUGAUAGAUUCUGUAGCGACCCAAAAAAUAGAUAGGUGAAACUAGAGCCUAACGUAUGAAUUUUUAAAGUUUAAGCAUAAUUGGAGUUAUGAAAUUUUCCAAAAUAAAAAUUGGACUUUGCCUUAGUUUUAUUUGGUAGGUCCAUGUAGGCAAGGGGAAUUUUCGUAAAUAUGUGAAGGUAUUCUUAUGGUUAUAAGGUGAUCUUGUACAAAGUGUUAUUGUAGUAUGAUUGAAAGUAUGUUAUCUUUAAAUGUCCAUAUGUGACGAUUGUUGUUGGUAGGUUGAAUCCACCUUUGGUGGAAGUGUUAUAUCUUGUUAUUGUGUCUAAGUAUGGGAGAGGUGUUUUGGGAAAUGUUUUAGAGAUGGGAAUUGAACUAAUGGUAUAUAGGAAAUAACAUAUGCCCUUUGGAAAAAUGGUCCAACACUUAGAAAAAAAAAUGAGGCGGGUGAACAGUAAAACGCUCACUGGAAAUUGCCUUUCCUGCCGGACAGAUUUUACAAAAAUGGGCAUAACUUCUUCGUCCGAACUCCGAAUGAGGUGAAACCAAGUGCGUUAGGUAGCUAACUCAAAGGGAUUUCCAUGGAUAUGUUAUUGGCCACCCAAUAAUUUGUGUGCUAGGAGAUAUGACCCUCCAAAGUAGACCCUCGAAAAGGCUUCACUUGGAAAUUUCNNNNNNNNNNNNNNNNNNNNNNNNNNNNNNNNNNNNNNNNNNNNNNNNNNNNNNNNNNNNNNNNNNNNNNNNNNNNNNNNNNNNNNNNNNNNNNNNNNNNNNNNNNNNNNNNNNNNNNNNNNNNNNNNNNNNNNNNNNNNNNNNNNNNNNNNNNNNNNNNNNNNNNNNNNNNNNNNNNNNNNNNNNNNNNNNNNNNNNNNNNNNNNNNNNNNNNNNNNNNNNNNNNNNNNNNNNNNNNNNNNNNNNNNNNNNNNNNNNNNNNNNNNNNNNNNNNNNNNNNNNNNNNNNNNNNNNNNNNNNNNNNNNNNNNNNNNNNNNNNNNNNNNNNNNNNNNNNNNNNNNNNNNNNNNNNNNNNNNNNNNNNNNNNNNNNNNNNNNNNNNNNNNNNNNNNNNNNNNNNNNNNNNNNNNNNNNNNNNNNNNNNNNNNNNNNNNNNNNNNNNNNNNNNNNNNNNNNNNNNNNNNNNNNNNNNNNNNNNNNNNNNNNNNNNNNNNNNNNNNNNNNNNNNNNNNNNNNNNNNNNNNNNNNNNNNNNNNNNNNNNNNNNNNNNNNNNNNNNNNNNNNNNNNNNNNNNNNNNNNNNNNNNNNNNNNNNNNNNNNNNNNNNNNNNNNNNNNNNNNNNNNNNNNNNNNNNNNNNNNNNNNNNNNNNNNNNNNNNNNNNNNNNNNNNNNNNNNNNNNNNNNNNNNNNNNNNNNNNNNNNNNNNNNNNNNNNNNNNNNNNNNNNNNNNNNNNNNNNNNNNNNNNNNNNNNNNNNNNNNNNNNNNNNNNNNNNNNNNNNNNNNNNNNNNNNNNNNNNNNNNNNNNNNNNNNNNNNNNNNNNNNNNNNNNNNNNNNNNNNNNNNNNNNNNNNNNNNNNNNNNNNNNNNNNNNNNNNNNNNNNNNNNNNNNNNNNNNNNNNNNNNNNNNNNNNNNNNNNNNNNNNNNNNNNNNNNNNNNNNNNNNNNNNNNNNNNNNNNNNNNNNNNNNNNNNNNNNNNNNNNNNNNNNNNNNNNNNNNNNNNNNNNNNNNNNNNNNNNNNNNNNNNNNNNNNNNNNNNNNNNNNNNNNNNNNNNNNNNNNNNNNUUUGUGAAUGGUGACUUGAAAUGUGGGUUUAUGCUUGUGGUUGUAAAGGUUUGUUAAAGAAGGUCUUAAAAGCAUUUAUCCCUUGUAAAUGUCCGUGGUGCACGUUUUCUUGCAUGGUCAUCAUACUUAGUACUUAGUUGUGCUAAUUCCAUAUUUCUCUAUUUUCUACUAGUGUAGGUUCCGGAAAGUGAGCGGGUUCUAUAGUAAGCUUGGAACUUGAAGUUCUUCCAAGAUCUUGUGGUAUGUCCUCAUAUGUCGAGGACAAGAGUUUUCUAUUCUAGUUUAUAAUAAGGUUCUUGUAAUAGACUUAAUAGACUUCUUUUGAUUGUAAAGGGCCGUGUCCCUAGUAUGUUUUCACGUUUAUGUCUAAGAUGGCUAAGAGACUUAGUAUUCCGCUUGUGUACUUUUGAAUGAUGUUUUUAAAAGUGACCUUUGACUCUUAUGAGAUUUUAUUUAAAGAGUUUUUAAUUCCGCACUAUUUUACAUAUCUAAUGUGAUGAAUGCUAAGGGCUUGUAUGAGACCUCCGAGAGGUCGAAUACGCAUGUUACGACUUGGGGAUGCUCUCGGGUCGUGACAGAUUCUUUUCCCUUGAGACGAGGGAGGAAAAGGUACUUGAAUUCAUCAACCUUUAUCAAGGAAGCAUGAGUAUAAAAGAGUAUGUCUUGAAAUUCAUACCAUUGUCUAGGUAUGAUCCUACUACGGUUGUUGAUCCUAGGGCAAGUAUGAGUAAGUUUAUUUUGGGAGUGUUCGAGUGGUUAACAAAGAAUGUCAUACCGCUAUGUUCAUCAAUGAUAUUGAAAUUUCUCGGCUGAUGACGUAUACUUAACAAAUGGAAGAAGAGAUACUUAAGGAAAGAUCUAGAGAGGCAAAGAAGGCAGGGACCGAUGAUGGUGACUUUUCACAUUCAAGAUCUGAUGGGCAUGAUCGUUCUAAGUUCCGACAAAGGUUUCCCAGUCAAGGUUCCUCUAAUGCUCCUCCUAAAUUCAAAAUAUAAUGGGUGUCUAACCCUAAACCUCAAGGAGAAAAUGGUGGUGGAUCUUCAUCGUCUACUUGUGCUAAAUGUUGAAGGAAGCAUGAGGGUAAAUGCUUAGCCAGUAUGGAUGAUUGCUUUGGUUGUGGUAAGAGUGGUCAUAAGAUAAGGGAUUGUCCAUCACUUAUGGCUAAGGGAAGAGAAGGUAGACAAGCUCCGCCUAUCUUUUCAGGUUCAAGUGCUCCAAAGCAAAAUAGAUUUUAUGCACUUCAAACUCGUCAUUUGCAAGAGGGUUUUCUCGAUGUGGUUACUGGUAUGUUGAAAGUCUUUCAUCUUGAUUUUUUUUCUUUGCUUGAUUCCCGGUGCUACCUUGUAUUUUGUGACGCCAUAUGUGUCUAUGAGGUUUGAUAUCCUUCCGGAUGUGUUAUUAGACCCUUUUUUUUGUCUCUACAACUAUUGGUGAAUCUGUUGUUCCAAAAGAAUCUAUAGAAAUUGUCCCGUCUCCUUAUCUCAUAGAGUCUCCCAUGUUGAUCUUGUAGAGCUUGAUAUGUUAUAUUUCGAUGUUAUCCUUGGUAUGGAUUGGUUGCCUUCUUUUUAUGCUUCUAUUGAUUGUAGAACCCCGUGGUCAAGUUCAGCUUCCGAAAGAGCCUAUCCUAAAGUGGAUAGGGGAAAUCCUAUGUCGAAAGGUCAGUUUAUUUGUUUUCUUAAGGCUAGGAAGAUUUUUCUAAGGGUUGUAUAUACCAUCUAGUUAGGGUGAGGGAUAUAGAUUCUGAAACUCCUACUCUUAAGUCGGUCCCCAUUGUUAAUGAGUUUCCGGAAGUGCUUCGCGAUGAUAUAACUACUGUUCCUCCCAAAAGGGAAAUAGACUUCAGUAUUGACCUUCUCCAGAUAUGCGACGUAACUCUAUUCCUUCUUAUCGAAUAGCUUCGAUAGAAUUUAUGGAAUUAAAUGAGCAGUUGAAAAAUUUGUUGUAUAGGGGUUUCAACCGACCGAGUAUUUCUCCAUGGGGUGCUCCAAUUUUGUUUGUUUGAAAGAAAGAUGGUUUACUUCGUAUGUGCAUCGAAUACCAUCAUUUGAACAAGGUUACCAUUAGAAUAAGUAUCCUCUCAAAUACUACUCAAAACAUGAAUGUGAAAGGGUUUCUCGCAUGAACGAUUCAUAGAGUUGAUAGGUUUUCUCAACUAAAAUACGAAUCAAGAUUUAAGAGCUAUUCUAAUGAACUCUAGCUUAGAUUGGAUACUUGAUUGUGCCUUUCCAUGGAUAAUAAGAUGAAUAUGACUAAUUAUUCAUUGGAAUUUAUGCUUAGCAUCGAGAGGAUAUUGAUAUGGAAGCUCUCCCAUACUCGUGGCUAGUAAGCCCUUUUAGACUUUUAAUAUUGGUGAGUCCUCAUGUUCCAACGUCCGAGUCUCUUUUAUUGCUUUCAUGUCUUUUCAUUCAGAUUUUGUAUUUCAUGUAUGGGUUGCGUCCCAAUCACUCCUAUGAUGUAAUAGAUGACUUUGAGACUUAUGUUAGAAUUCCGCUACUUUUGUCAAACUCUUUAUGAAUCGAAAAUGUCGUUUGAACUCUUUAAGAUUCUAGUAUCUUGUAUAUGUAUGCUAAGUGGCUUGUAUAGGGUCUCUCGGGGUCCUAUGCUCCAUGUUACGACUAGGGUGUACUUUGGGUCGUGACAAAUUUGGUAUUUAGAGCACAAGGUUUAGAAUGGUUCUAGGACGUCUCAAACCACGUCGAGUAGAAUCUUGUUCAUAAGUGUGAAGCGCGCCACAUAUAUGAAUGAGAGGAUACUAUAUGUUUAGGAAACUUCACUUCUUCAUUUCUCUAGGGCGUGCCAUGGAGUUUAACUCUAUUAAGUCUUUCUCCUAACCUUUACCCGAUGAUUUUCAGGAUAUGACUACUAGAAGGGCUAAUGCUAGAGGAUAGAGGGAGACAAUGUGGGUCAAGAAGUUGCUCCCCAAGCUCCUCCUAAAGCUCCAAUUGAUCCUUUGACUGAGAAUGUAACCAAUGCAGAGUUUAGGUUGACGUUCCAAGUUUUGGCUCAAGCCGUGACGUCCCAAUCCAAUAGAGAGGUGGUAGCUCCCGUGAACCCAAAUGUGGGUAUGACAGUGACAAGAGUGAGGGACUUUACAAGGAUGAACCCUGUAGAGUUUUAUGGCUCCAAAGUUUAGGAGGACCUUCAAGAAUUUAUCGACGAGGUUUAUAAGAUACUUGCUAUUAUGGGGGUGACACCAGUAGAGAAAGUGGAGUUAGUCUCUUAUCAACUCAAAGGGGUUGCUCAGAUUUGCUUAAAUCAGUAAAAAGAGGCAAGACCAGAAUGAGUAGGUCUCAUAGAGUGGGAGAGGUUCAAAAGUGCUUUUCUUGACAGGUUCUUCCCGUUAGAGAUGAGAGAGGACAAGGUACUUGAGUUCAUCAACCUUUGACAGGGAAAUAUAAGUGUGAGGGAGUACGCAUUGAGGUUCACUCAACUAUCUAAGUAUGCUCGUUCUAUCGUAGCGGAUUGUAGGACCAAGAUCAGUAAGUUUGUGUCGGGAGUAUCCGACUUGGUUGUCAAAGAAUGCCACACUGAUAUGCUGGAUCAUGGUAUGGACAUUUCUCACCUUAUGGUGUAUUCCUAACAAAUUAAGGAAGAAAAGCUUAAGGAAAGAUCUAGGGAAGCAAAGAGGUCAAGAAGGGAUGAUGGUAACUUCUCACAUUCUAGGUGCGGUGGACGAGGUCGUUCAAGGUUUAGGCAAAGGUUCUCCAGGCAAGAUUCUUCAAAUGCUCGUCCAAGGCCUAACAAUGAAAGGGUGUUUAACCCUAAACCCCAAGGAGAUGGUAGUAAGUCCUCAAUGCCUACUUGUGCUAAAUGUGGGAGAAAUCAUGAGGGUAAGUGUCUAGCAGGCUCCAAUGCUUGCUUUGGGUGUGGCAAGACGGGUCAUAAGAGUAGGGAUUGUCCCUCGGUUUCUAAGAAUGAGGGAUAUACUCAUCGUAGGGCUCAACCCAACCCCUCAUCUGGUCCAAGUGGUUCGGGUGCUAGUUCUCCUAAGCAUAACUGAUUCUAUUCUUUCCAGACUAGAGGUGAUCAAAAGAUCUCCCCCGAUGUAGUGACCGGUAUGUUAAAAGUUUUUCAAAUUGAUGUGUAUUCUUUUCUUGAUCCCGGUGCUACUUUGUCCUUUGUGACUCCUUAUGUGGCUAUGAGGUUUGAUGUGCUCCCCGAUGUGUUAUUAGAGCCUUUUUCUGUCUCUACCCCUGUUGGUGAUUCUGUGUUGGCUGAAAAGGUAUAUAGAAGGUGUCCCGUGUCCUUAUCCCAUAGAGUUACUCUUGUUGAUUUGGUAGAACUUGAUAUGUUUGACUUCGAUGUCAUCCUUGGUAUGGACUGGUUUCAUUCAUGCUAUGCUUCCAUUGAUUGUAGAACUAGAGUGGUUAAGUUCCAAUUCCCAAAUGAGCCUAUCCUAGAGUGGAAGACGGGAAAUUCCAUGCCUAAGAGUCGGGUUAUUUCUUGUCUUAAGGCUACUAAGAUGAUUUCUAAGGGUUGCUUGUACCAUCUAGUGAGGGUGAGGGUUGUAGAUUCCGAGACUCCUUCUCUUGAGUCGAUUCCUAUUGUAAAAGAGUUUCCGGAAGUGUUCCCAGAUGAUCUACCCGGUAUUCCUCUCGAAAGGGAAAUAGAUUUUUGUAACACCUUGAAAAUUAGUCGAUUAACUAGAGCCUAAAUGUGAGGGUUAACGUCAAAGAUUAAGGGCAAGGGCCAAGAGUUUGGGUGAAGGCCUUGGCUAGGGGGCCAAGGCUGCCUAAAACUAGCCUAGCCACUACCUACCAUGACCACGAGGGUCUUCACGACCCGUCGUGGCCACCACGAGUCGUGGUACCACCCGUGGUUGGUGAGGCAGUGCACUCCCAAAAGUGUCAAGCCAAGACUUCCCUUCACGAGCCACUUCACGGCUCGUGGUUAUGACCACGGGACAUGGGAAGGCUCGCGAGGUUGCCUUAGCCUCAUGGGAGAUGUGUCAAGUGAAGGAGCUACUUGUCAAGGGACCACGGGCACCACCACGAGACGUGGUGCCCUUGACGGUUCGUAUAUGGGCUUGUGAAGACCCCUUAGGCGUGUGGGAGGCAAGGCAUUAAGCCUAGCCACUGCCUCAAGACCACGACUUUCACCACGACUCGUGGUCUUGACCACGGAUCGUGGGAGGUCUCAUGGUCAUGCCUUCAAUUUAUGGAGACCAAGACCCCAAGCCACAACCACUGCCCAAGGACCAUGGGCAGGACCACGACUCGUGGUCUUGACCAUGACUUGUGAGGCCCUCUCGUGGUGCUUGGGAGUGGGCUGCCUAGUUAGGGGCAUUUUUGUAAUUUUCUAAUUAAUAAGUUAUUUUAUGGGGUCGAUUUUAAUUGUUUUAGUUCACUUAUAUAAAUGAUUUUAAGUCUUUAAACACCCUAUUUACUUCUUUAUACCUAAAGACCCAAAUCAAACAAAAAAGUUCUUCUCCCUCUCAAAUAUUUCUCUCUCUAGGAAACCUCCAUUGAAGACCAAGAAAGAGAUCAACUAGGGCUUGAAGAAGGGGGGUUUUCAUACGAAAUUGGUUGGAUUCUACACCUAAGGUAUGGUAGUUUUCAUCCUUUGGUAGCUAUCACCCAAGGAGUCCUUUCAAAAGCUUUUAUCUCAAAUCUAGAAAUCCCCAAAAGCGAGGAAUUCAACUCAACCCCAUGGAUUCCUUUCAAAGUUGCUUUUAAAGGUUGAAUUAUGUUUGUUUAUGGAUGAAUUACUGAUUUUAUAUGAUUUUAACUUGAAUUCCUCAAGAAUCCAUGAGUUUCCCAAUCCUAGGUAUGGUCCUUCUUUACAUUAAAGAAUGUUGUUGCAAGUUCGUACAAUUGAUUGGAUGUGAGUACAGUAUGAUGUGAUUGCAUGAUUUUAGUAUGAUUCUACAUGUAUACUUGAUUAACCUAAGAUUAUAGGGUGAAAUUGAUGUGGCCUAGGGCUAUGUCAUGAAAGAGGCAAAUUGAAGGUUUAUAUGUGACCUUCUAAAAUUGAUGAACUCCGAAUCAACCUCUCUCAUUUCCCAAUCAAAUAUUAAGUAGAAAGGAACAAGCUGUUCAAAUUUGCACUCUCUCACUUUUCUCUCUAGUGUGGUAGCUGAUCAAACUCUUGUGUUUCUUCAAAAAUAAGACCUAAAAGAAAGUCUUACAUAUGCACAAUAAUAAUGGGCUUAUGGGCAAAAGCUAGCUAGUCUAAAUUGAGCUUAAAUUUAUCCACAAAGGAAAGAAAAGAGACCCAAAACCUGGGACUUUUAUUUAUCCACAUAGAAAGGGAAAAAGACCCAAAACCCAACACAUCUGCCCCUACCGACUAUGUGGAGGAGACCGCCAUCCCGGUGUUCAUAUAACAUACUUCAAACUUUGCUCUUGGCAAAGCUUUAGUCAUUGUGUCGGAACCAUUAUCAUUGGUAUGUAUAUUUUCAAGUUCAAGUAACUUAGAAUCCAACACAUCUCGAAUCCAAUGAUAUCUCACAUUCAAUAUAUUUAUACCGACCAUGAAAUGUAAAAUUCUUGUCAAGAUGAAUAGCACUUUGACAGUCGCAACAAAGCACAUAUCUCUCUUGAGCAAACCAAGUUACCCCAAAAAUUUAUUCAUCCGGAUCAACUCUUUGCAAGCUUCAACAACAACAAUAAGCUUAACCUCUGUUGUAGAUAAAGAAACAUAUUUUUACAACCUAGAUUUCCAAGACACAGCUCCCCGGCCCCUGAAAAAGUAGUCAAGUAGCCUGAAGUAGACUUACGAGUAUUAAUAUCACCGGCAAUAUCUAAAUCAGUGUAACCACAAAGAAUAGGCUUCCGUGUACCAAAACACAAACUCAAACUAGAAGUGCCACAAAGAUAUCUCAUAGCCCACUUCUCAACAUUCCAUGGUUCUCUUCCCGGAUUAGAAAGAAAACAACUAACAAUACCAACAAUAUAAGCAAUAUUUGUCCUUGUACACACUAUUGCAUACAUCAAACUACCAACAACUGAAUCAUAAGGAACUUUCUUCAUAUAUUCCUUCUCACCAUUAACGGAAGGACAAUGCUUAGUACUCAAUUUGAAGUACAUUGAUAAAGGUUUACUGACAACCUUAGCUUUGUCCAUGUUAAAUCUACAAAGUACUUUCUGAAUGUACUUCUCUUGUGACAACCAUAGCUUCUUGGCCUCUCUGUCACGAACAAUAUGCAUGCCAAGAAUCUGUCUUGCUGGUCCCAAGUCUUUCAUAGAAAAAGAGUUAUUCAACUCUUGCUUCAACUUUUUAAUCCUGCAAGCAUUAUGACCAACAACAAGGAUGUCAUCAUCCAUAAAGCAAAACGAUAAUAAAAUCACUUCCAAAGAAAUUUUGCACAAAAUACAAUGGUCUGAAUAAGUCUUCUUGAAACUUCGUUGACUUAUAAAAGAACCGAACUUCUUGUACCGUUGCAUGGGAGCUUGUUUUAGACCAUACAAGUUCUUCUUCAACUUGCAAACAUAAUUCUCUUUUCCUUACACUUCAAUGCCUUCCGACUGCUCCAUAUAAAUUUAUUCAUCUAAGUCACCAUGGAGAAAAGCUGUUUUAACAUCCAUUUGUUCAACUUUUAAGUCUAUACUGGCAGCUAAGCCUAGAACAACUUUCAAGAUUUUAGCUCUUGAACAGUAGAUGCAUUUCGGUGAUUUUACCCCUUUAUUUCUCUAGUAUUUGUUGCUAUCUUGUAGUUGUGUAGGUCAUUGUUUGGAACUUUGUUGGUGGCCAUUUUGUAGAACACUUUUGUAACAUUUUUUUUAUUUUAGUGGAGCUUUGUCCUUGUGGUUUUUACUCUUCACACAUAAGAGGUUUUCUACGAUAAACUUGGUAUCUAAUGUGUUGAUUUAUUUUGCUUGCUUUGGUUGAUUUGUUUGCUGCCCAAACAGUUUUAUUCUUGCAUUAGUUUGUAUUUUCUUGGUUCUAAUAGAAUGGAAAAUUUUGACUUAGGUUUUCUUCCGUUACUGCCUUGCUGUGCACAUUUAUUUGUGCUUGCCUUUCCCAACAAAGUGAUAUCAGAACAUUGGGUUGUUGUGAUAAUCUAUUUGAAUAAUGGAGCCAUAUAUCAAAAAGAUGGUUGUUUGGAAGGGUAGUAAUUAUCAUACUUGGAAAGACAAGAUGAAAGAUCUUCUAUAUGUCAAGAAAAUGCAUCUAAAUAUGUUUGCUUCUAAUAAACCCGAAUCUAUGAAUGACGAUGAUUGGGAAUUUGAGCACUUACAAGUUUGUGGCUAUAUCAGACAAUGAGUUGAAGAUAAUAUUAGAAAUCACAUUGUUAAUGAGACACAUGCCAGAAGUUUAUGGGACAAACUCGAGACACUUUUUGCUUCGAAGACUGGCAACAAUAAGUUGUUUCUAUUGGAACAAUUGAUGAACAUCAAGUAUAAAGAGGGCACUCCUAUUUCUGAUCAUAUUAAUGAUUUUCAGGGUGUUGUUGACCAGCUGUCCGGAAUGGGUGUAAAAUUCGAUGAUGAAUUACAUGUACUAUGACUUAUUAAUACUCUGCCAAAUCCUUUUGAAACUUUUCGAGAUGUUCGCUUGAAUUUGAUUUCUGUGGGAUACUUUGAUGAUGAGGGUUAUCUUAGUCCUUGGUGCUGACCAAUGGAAGCUUACUAGAGGUUCGAUGGUUGUAGCCUGUGGUGACAAGUUGUCUAACUUGUACGUUUUUCAGGGCUCCAUUUCUAGAGGCUUAGUAAAUUUGGUGGAGAAUGAAACAUCAUCAGAGUUAUGGCAUAGAAAGCUGAGUCAUAUGAGCAAGAAGAGGCAGGAAAAUUUAGCUAAUAAGAAUUUGCUUUUUGGAGUAAAAUAAGCAAAGUUGAACAAAUGUGUUCAUUGCUUAGUCGGUAAAUAGAAAAAAGUUUCUUUUCAGAGUCAUCCUCCUUCAAGAAAGCUUGAUUUGCUGGAGUUGGUGCAUUCUGAUUUGUGUGGUCAUUUAAAGGUAAAGCCUCAUGUUGGUGCACUUUACUUUAUGACUUUUAUUGAUGAUCAUUCUCGCAAACUCUGGGCAUUCUCUUUGAAGUCCAAGGAUCAGGUACUUUAUAUGUUCAAGAAUUUUCAGACCUUGGUUGAGAGAUAGACAAGGAAGAAAAUAAAAUGCAUCUGUCCUGGUAAUGGUGGUGAGUAUAUUGGUCUUUUUGAUAGAUAUUGCAGAGAGUAGGGUUUUCGACAUCAGAAAAAUUAUCAAAAGACCCCUCAGCUAAAUGAUUUAGCAGAGAGGAUGAACAAAACUCUAGUUUAGAGGGUUUCAUGUAUGCUUUCAAAUGUUAAGCUGCCAAAUUCUUUUUGGGUAGAAGCACUUAAUACUGAUGCCUAUAUUAUUAAUUUAUCUGCUACCAUUGCUUUGAAUGGUGAUGCCCCAAACAAAGUUUUCUUUGAUGAGAAUGUCUCUUAUGAUCAUUGUAGUGACCCUUUAGGAGGGAUACUACUACUUAACGAGAAACCUAUUUUAAUACUUGCGACAUUUAAAAGAGAUUAACGAAGGGCAUAUUGAUUUUAAUCUAAUAGAGGGAUUAGGUUCAUAACGAAUAAUUUAGUUGAGGAUAUACAUCUUGCCCAUUUAAACAUUUACUUGAUGUUAAAAUUGAUAUGGCACGGAAUUUAACUUAUGACGGAAAAACCCUUCCAGAGUAAUUUAAGCAAAUAACUGACGAGCUUUUCAUGCAUAUAUUAUCCUCACACUUAAGGAUGAGAUAACAAGAAUAUUACCAACUUUCGAGUACCGAAUCAGCCGGUUCAUGCUUCACACAAAUAUUCAAAACUAAUAGUACAUUUCGUAUAUUACAAGACUUGGGUUUACACACCCAAAAAUAACAAAACAUAUAGACAUACUUAUAUUACAACCCAUGGUGACGUGAUCAAAUUAGUCCUCAAAAAUUUCAUGUAAAUAUACAACACAUAGAUCAUGUACAAGUCCCAAGGUUUAUAUAAAAUAUAGAUGCCUAUAUGCAAAUGUGAUCUUCCUUAAGGCUCUCAAAAUCUCCAUCUCCCAUGGCCAGCUUCAUGCAUCCUCUCGAACAUUCCCUACGAUAGAAACAACUAUCGCUAAGCAUAUAGCUUAGUGGUGCAAAAACUAUAGGUUCGGAGCCCUCAGAUUCACCAAGUUACCUUUCUCAAGUCAUGGGCAGCAUAAUUGAAUAUAAUAAAUAAAUCAAGUAAACAAUAUGUAAAGAGUAUCAAGUUCGAUAUUUAAAGAUCCAAAUGUCAAGAACGCUCAUAGCACCAUUUUCCAAGAGAUUCAACAACAAGGCUCGCCCAAUAUAUACAUCAUGUCAUCACACCAAGCACAAGGAGAUAUCAAGAAGGGUCGACGCCCUGUAUCAAGAAGGGUCAAAGCCCAAUAAUCAAGAGAACCAAGAACCAUAUUAAAAAUGGUUUUCUAGUUCGUACUUAAAAUGGACAACUUCCAUUCUUAAGACGGACUAAAAAUCCAGAGUCAAGAUGGCAAAUGAUCUGAAUCAAGAGGCAUGCCAAUAGUGACAUAGUCACAGCCACAAGAAGGACAAGGUCCCAACAAGAGUACCAAGUGAUCAAACAAUCCGUACAAGUGGAUGAGUUACACAAGCGUCUUUAAUGUCUUAAAGGAUACCAACACGACAAUGAAAAGUGACAAGGGGUAACCAAGGUACCAAGAUAAACUUUCAGAUAUACCAGCAGUUAAAAGAGUGCAAGUACAAGUUUAUACACAAACCUCAGUGCUUUAGCAAAGAAACAGUCCAACACAACUUCGCUAGUUCAGACCGUAGACCAACCAACGUUUCAAGGUCCUCAACUUGUUCACGAGUAUAUACAAGCUUAAAAAUACAAUUAAAUAGGUUCUUUAAUUCCUAGCAGAUCAAUAAUGUUUAUGUAAAACAGGAUUAUCAUUACAAGUAAGCUUAGCCUGUACAAAUACGACUAUGCUCCCAAAACAGAAAUUCUGGCCAGCCUAGUCCCUCAUGUCGCAACUUAUAUUUGAAAAGGAAAACGGCAAAAAUGGAGUGUAUACUCUUCAGGAAAGAUGUAGGUACAUAUCUCAAGGUUGCAAACAAUCAAGAACCACCGCAAAAUAUAUUUUGUACAAAGAGAUAUCAUCAAAACAGUAACAGUUGAUCAUACAGGAUUUCUAAUUCCGAAAUCUGGACUGAACUUGUCCUAUGUUGCGUCCCAUAUUUCGAAUCCAUAACAGCUAAAUUAGAGUUUUACAUAACCAUAAGAGUUGUAGGUCUAUAAAUUAGAUUUCCAAAUCAUAUUUAUUCACUGUAAACUAAGUUCUAUAGAAAGAGAUAUGUAUAACAUACCAAACACUACCCAGCUCAGAAACAAAUUUCGUCACUUACCAAAAAGAAGUGUGCAUCUCGAAUUCCAGCCAAAAAGGCCUAGUUUUUCUCUUGUGAUUUUGAAGAACAACUUGUUAGAUAAUUUUCUAAGGUUCUUAUACUUCAGGUGAGACGAAUUUUACUAGAAGAGGUGUCAAAAUAUAGUCUCAAAAGUGAGGCUAGUCACAUGUGCAGCUGUCACUAAAAGGGCUGCCCAAAUAAAAGUAGGCUACCCAGAAAGCAUACAUAUAUACCUAUAGGUAUAUAACUAAUACCAACGCUUUCAAUUUAUAUAUAAUUCUAAUUAGAAAAUUACGUAAAUACCCCCAUACAAUACCUUAAAUUACGAUCACAAUUAUGCUAAGCAAGGUUGCAAAUAUCACAAAAUUUCAAGUUCUAUUCUAGUAAUUAAGCAAUGGUGUAUCGACAUGUGAAUGUUGGUCUAGUAUUUAGGGGUGUUACAACUCUCUCCUCCUAAAAGAAAUUUUGUCUCGAAAUUUACCUUAAACUAGUCUCGAAACAAGUGCGGAUACUGGGACCUCAUGUCUUCUUCUCUCUCCUAGGUAGCUUCCUUCCCAGAAUGGUUCCUCCAAAGUACCUUUACUAAGGGGAUUCUCUUGUUCCUAAGUUGCUUUACUUCUCGAGCUUGAAUUAGGAUAGGUUCUUCAUUAUACGUCAAGGCAGGAUUAACCUCAAUAGAUUCAACUGGAAGAACAUGAGAUGGAUCAGAACGAUAUCUUCUGAGCAUAGAAAUAUGGAAGACAUGGUGGAUCUUGUCUAAUUCAGGUGGCAAAGCCAAUAUAUAUGCAACUGGUCCAACCCUUUCAAGUAUCUCAUAAGGUCCAAUAAAUCGGGGACUAAGUUUUCCUUUUUUGGCCAAAUCUCAUAAUCUUUUUCCAUGGAGACACCUUUAAGAAUACUUUAUCUCCAACUUGAUAUUCAAUGUCACACCUUUUAAGAUUAGCGUACGACUUUUGUCUAUCCGAAGAAAUCUUUAGACGAUCCUUGAUAAUUUUUACCUUGUCCUCUGUUUGUUGCACAAUUUCAGGACCAACAAGCUUUCUUUCACCAACUUCACUCCAACAAAGAGGGGUCCGACAUUUCCUUCCGUACAAGGCUUCAUAGGGAGGCAUUCCAAUACUCGAUUGGUAACUGUUAUUGUAAGCAAAUUCUAUCAAAGCCAAGUGUUUUGUCCCCAACUACCCUCAAAUUCCAUAAUGCAAGCUCGAGGCAUAUCCUCCAAAAUUUGUAUCACUCUUUCCGACUGGCCGUCUUUCUGAGGAUGAAACGAAGUGCUAAAUUUCAACUUAGUUCCCAAAGCUUCCUGCAAGCUAUCCCAAAAUCUAGAUGUAAACCUUGGGUCUCAGUCAGAUACAAUAGACACAUGGAUCCCAUGUAGUCUUACAAUCUCAUUAAUGUACAACUCGGCUAAAUGCUCAAGUGAGUAAUCCAUUCUGAUUUCUAAGAAGUGAGCACUCUUGGUUAGCCUGUCCACAAUCACCCAUAUUGCAUCAUGAUUUCUCUGAGUGCGAGGAAGUCCAGAAACAAAGUCCAUAAUUAUUCUCUCCCAUUUCCAUUCCGGCAUCGACAACGACUGUAGUAAACCAACUGGGACUUGAUGUUCCGCCUUUACUUGUUGACAAACCAAACAUUUGGAAAUGAACUCCAUAAUGUCUCUCUUCAUACCAUUCCACCAAUAAUGUUCUUCGAUGGUCUGGUACAUCUUUGUACCUCCGGGAUGCAUUGCAUAUGGUGAAGUAUGUGUUUCAUUCAGUAUUUUUCUCCUCAAUUUGUCAUCAUUAGGGACGCAUAACCUGUUCUGAGAAAAUAUGACACCAUCCCCUGUUAAUGUAAAAUCAAGCUUUUCCCCAUUUUGAACUUUUUUGGUCAGGUUUACAAGUUUCUCAUCUAACUUUUGUGCUUCCUUCACCUGUUCAAGUAAUAUUGGCUUUACUUGCAAAUUAGCAAUAACUGAACCAUUUGAAUCAGGUGUAAAAUAAACAUUCAUGGCUCUUAAUUCAAGAAGCAAGGGUAAAGGACUCAAGGAAAUUCUUGCAACGGAUUUCUGACUUAAAGCAUCUGCAACCACAUUGGUUUUACCUGGAUGAUAAUCAAUCGUGCAGUCGUAAUCCUUGAUGAGUUCAAGCCAUCUACGUUGUCGAAGGUUUAGCUCCUUUUGAGUACCCAAGUACUUUAAGCUCUUGUGAUCAGUAAAUAUAUGACAUUUCUCUCCAUACAAAUAAUGCCGCCAUAUUUUUAAAGCAAACAUUAUAGCCGCAAGUUCUAGAUCAUGAGUAGGAUAAUUUAAUUCAUGCGGUUUUAAUUUCCGAGAGGCAUAAGAAAUAACCUUCCCUUUUUGCACCAAAACGCAUCCUAGACCAUUGUGAGAAGCAUCACUGUGUACUACAUACUCUUUCCCUUUAAUUGGUAGAGCAAGUAUAGGCGCUUGAGUCAACAAGGAUUUGAGAGUUUCAAAGCUCUCUUGGCAUUUGUCAUCCCAAAUAAACUUUACUUCCUUUUGCAAGAGCUUAGUCAAAGGGGAGGUGAUAAUGGAAAAGCCUUUCACAAAUCUUCGGUAGUAUCCUGCUAAGCCCAAGAAACUUCUUACCUCAAUUGGACUUUUGGGAGGUCUCCAUUCAACAAUUUCUUGUAUCUUACUAGGAUCCACCUUCACGCCUUCGGUUGAUACCACAUGUCCCAGAAAAGCCAAUUCAUCAAGCCAAAAUUCAUGGAAAGUUUAGCAUAAAGUUCUUUCUCCGGAAAUUUUUUCAAAACAAUCCGAAGGUGUCUAUCAUGGUCUUCACUACCGCAGGAGCAUUUGUCAAUCCGAAUGGCAUCACUAAAAAUUCAUAAUGACCAUACCGAGUUCUAAAAGCAGUUUUAGGAAUAUCUUUCUCUCUAACAUGCAGUUGGUGAUAUCCAGACCUUAAAUCAAUCUUUGAGAAUACUUUAGCACUCUUCAGUUGGUCAAACAAAUCAUCGAUCCUUGGUAGUGGAUAUUUAUUCUUGAUUAUUAUUAUGUUCAAUUGUCUAUAGUCAAUACAAAGCCUAAGAGUGCCAUCUUUCUUCUUUACGAAUAAAAUAGGGACUCCCCAAGGAGAAACACUAGGUCUAAUAAAACGCUUCUCAAGAAGUUCUUGCAAUUGAGAUUUAAAUUCUCUUAAUUCUGCUGGAGCCAUUCUAUAAGGAGUGAUAGAAAUAGGGGUAGAUCCAGGAAUAAGCUCGAUUGGAAAUUCAACCUCUCUUUCUGGGGGAAAUCCAGGAAGGUUUUCUGGGAAGACUUCUGGAAAAUCACAUACAACAGGUAUGCCCUUGAUACAAGGACUCUUCAACUGUGUAUCAACUACGUGACCACGGUAUGCCCUACAACCUUGACGCAUCAACUUUCUUGCCAAGGCCGCAGAAAUAAUACUAGAUGUCAAUGAUCUUUCACCUUGUACAAUUAUGUGUGAAAAUGUAUGAUCUUUAAAGGUCACAUGCUUUAACCUACAAUAUACCACUGCAUGAUAUUUAUAUAGCCAAUCCAUCCCGAUAAUACCAUCAAAAUCCUUGAAGGGCAUUUCAAUCAAAUCAGCAGGGAAGACUAGGUUUUGAAUCACGAAGGGACAAUCACAAUAAAUUUGAUUACACACAACCUGAUAACCCAAAGGACUUUCAACCAGUACAUCAUAAUUAAGUCUCAUAGAUUUCACAUUUUCAGGAAAACAAGUGAUGAACAAAUAUAGGAAUGCGUAGAACCAUGAUCAAACAAUGUAAACACACAUAAGCCAAAUAAAUAGAACCAGGAUCAUCUCUCUGCCUCAUAGCAUAAGCGCGUGCAGUAGCCCUUGGUCCACUAGCUUUAUUAGCUCCACUUUCACCUGUUGCUUGGGUGUUUUUAGGUCUUGCACCUAUAUUAGUUUGAGGAGGAUUAAUAGAAGACUUAUGAACUGAGCCUUCAUUUUUCAACGAAGGAGCAUUAUUAGGAUUAGGAUAGUCCUUCACUUUAUGAUCAAAGCUCCCACAAUUGAAACAUGCACCAGAAGCUCUCCUGCAAGUACCAUAAUGAUUCUUUCCAUAUUGCGGACAAGUGAGAACACGAGGCUUGCCUUGGCCAUAAUUUGGAGUGCUAGCUGUAGAAAAAUCUGAUAUGUUUUGCUUUUGUUGCGGUGGCUUGUUAUCACUACCAGCCUUAGAAUUAUCAAACCUUCCCCUUUUUGUAUGGACCCCAAAAAUCUGGUCUAGACUUUCGGAAUUUGUUUUCAUUUCUACUAGCUUCUUCUUUAUCAAGUCGUUCCCAAGUAAAAGCAGCAGACACUAACUUACAAAAGUUCUCAUGUUGCAGGAUCGCCACAUUCUUCCUAAUGGAAUCAUUUACUCCGUUUUCAAAUUUCAUGCACUUGUUUUUUUCCUCUUUAAUAAUACUUCCAGCAUAACGAGAGAGCCUUAGAAACUUCUGUUGGUACUCAGCAAUAGACAUGCCAAGUUGCCUUAAAUUCAAAAACUCCUUUCUCUUUGCAUCACAAUAAGCAGGUGGGACAUACUUCAUACAAAAUUCCUUAAGAAAAUCAUCCCAAGUGAGAACAUGAGGUUUUACCUUGGCAUUCAGAACACUUACCCACCAAUCAUAAGCAUUCUUUUGUAAUAGUGAAAUAGCAUACUUAAAUUUGGCAACAUCUGAACACUCCAACUGCUCAAACACCCUCUCCAUGCAGUCCAACCAUUGUUCAGAAUAAGUGGGAUCAACAGUGCCUUCAAAGUCCACACCACCCAUUUUCCUCAUUUUCUCAAAGUUAAUCCAGUUGGGAUCAUACAUCGAUUCAGCCAUGUGGUGGAAGAAUUCAGCCAUUUGUUGAAAAGGAGGAUUCACAACUUGAGUAACACGACUCAUGUGAGGAUGUGAACCAACUCUUACACCCUGAUUGUUUACCACUUCAAACCCACUAGUGUGGGGAAUAUAUUGGUUUGAGAAAUGUUCUCCAACCCCUUCCAGUGCAUGAGGUUGGGAAACAGAGGCACCUGAACCUUCACGAGCAGCUUCCGUAGGUCAGUCAGAAGAGGUGGCCAUAACUUAAUUCCUUGAAAAGGGAAGAUCACAUUGCAUUAGGGACAUGUACUUGAUACAUAUACACUCUACAAUAUUAUAAACCAUGUAAGUGAACAAAUAAUCUAUGUAGAACAUUUUUCGAAAGCGAACAAUUAUACAAGUAAUUCACAACAAAAGUCCUAGAACCACAAACCUAGGCUCUGAUACCAACACUUGUAGCGACCCUUUCGGAGGGAUACUACCACUUAAGGAGAAACCUAAUUUAAUACUUGCGACAUUUAAAAGAGAUUAACGAAGGGCAUAUUGAUUUUAAUCUAAUAGAGGGAUUAGGUUCAUAACUAAUAAUUUAGUUAAGGAUAUACAUCUUGCCCAUUUAAACAUUUACUUGAUGUUAAAAUUGACAUGGCGCGGAAUUUAACUUAUGACGGAAAAACCCUUCCAGAAUAAUUUAAGCAAAUAACUAACGAGAUUUUCAUGCAUAUAUUAUCCUCACACUUAAGGAUGAGAUAACAAGAAUAUUACCAACUUCCAAGUACCGAAAUCAAGCCGAUUCAUGCUUCGCACAAACAUCAAAAGUAAUAGUAAAUUUCGUAUAUUACAAGACUUGGGUUUACACACCCCAAAAGAACAAAACAUAUAGACAUACUUAUAUUACAACCCAUGGUGAAAUGAUCAAAUUAGUCCUCAAAUUUCAUGUAAAUAUACAACACAUAGAUCAUGUACAAGUCCCAAGGUUUAUAUAAAAUAUAGAUGCCUAUAUGCAAAUGUGAUCUUCCUUAAGGCUCUCAAAAUCUCCAUCUCCCAUGGCCAGCUUCAUUCAUCCUCUCGAACAUUCCCUAUGAUAGAAAUAACUAUCGCUAAGCAUAUANNNNNNNNNNNNNNNNNNNNNNNNNNNNNNNNNNNNNNNNNNNNNNNNNNNNNNNNNNNNNNNNNNNNNNNNNNNNNNNNNNNNNNNNNNNNNNNNNNNNNNNNNNNNNNNNNNNNNNNNNNNNNNNNNNNNNNNNNNNNNNNNNNNNNNNNNNNNNNNNNNNNNNNNNNNNNNNNNNNNNNNNNNNNGACAAAGUCACAUCCACAAGAAGGACAAGGUCCCAACAAGAGUACCAAGUGAUCAAAUAAUCCGUACAAGUGAAGGAGUUACCCAAGCGUCUUUAAUGUCUUAAAGGAUACCAACACGACAAUGCAAAGUGACAAGGGGUAACCAAGGUACCAAGAUAAACUUUCAGAUAUACCAGCAGUUAAAAGAGUGCAAGUACAAGUUUAUACACAAACCUCAGUGCUUUAGCAAAGAAACAGUCCAACACAACUUCGCUAGUUCAGACCGUAGACCAACCAACAUUUCAAGGUCCUCAACUUGUUCACGAGUAUAUACAACAUUUUGUUGGUCAUAAUGCUUGCAGGAUUAAAAAGUUGAAGCAAGAGUUGAAUAAGUCUUUUUCUAUGAAAGACUUGGGACCAGCAAGACAAAUUCUUAGCAUGCAGAUUGUCCAUUAUAGAGAGGCCAAGAAGAUAUGGUUGUCAUAGGAAAAGUACAUUCAGAAAGUACUUUGUAGAUUUAACAUGGACAAAGCUAAGGUUGUCAGUAAACCUUUAUCAAUGUAUUUCAAAUUGAGUACUAAGCAUUGUCUUUCCGGUAAUGGUGAGAAGGAAGAUAUGAAGAAAGUUCCUUAUGAUUCAGUUGUUGGUAGUUUGAUGUAUGAAAUGGUGUGUACAAGACCAAAUAUUGCUCAUAUUGUUGGUAUUGUUAGUUAUUUUCUAUCUAAUCCGGGAAGAGAAACUUGGAAUGCUGUGAAGUGGGCUAUGAGAUAUGUUUGUGGCACUUCUAGUUUGAGUUUGUGUUUUGGUACACGGAAGCCUAUUCUUUGUGGUUACACUGAUUUAGAUAUGGCCGGUGAUGUUGAUACUCGUAAGUCUACUUCAGGCUACUUGACUACUUUUCCAGGGGGAGCUGUGUCUUGGAAAUCUAGGUUGUAAAAAUAUGUUUCUUUAUCUACAACAGAGGUUGAGCUUGUUGUUGCUGUUGAAGCUUGCAAAGCGUUGAUCCGGAUGAAUAAAUUUUUGGGGUAACUUGGUUUGCUCAAGAGAUGUAUGUGCUUUGUUGCGACUGUCAAACUGCUAUUCAUCUUGACAAGAAUUUUGCAUUUCAUGGUCGGUAUAAAUAUAUUGAUGUGAGAUAUCAUUGGAUUCGAGAUGUGUUGGAUUCUAAGUUACUUGAACUUGAAAAUAUCCAUACCAAUGAUAAUGGUUCCGACACAAUGACUAAAGCUUUGCCAAGAGCAAAGUUUGAAGUAUGUUAUAUGAACACCGGGAUGGCGGUCUCCUCCACAUAGUCAGUAGGGGGAGAAUUGUUGGGUUUUGGGUCUUUUUCCCUUUCUAUGUGGAUAAAUAAAAGUCCAAGGUUUUGGAUCUCUUUUCUUUCCUUUGUGGAUGAAUUUAAGCUCAAUUUAGACUAGCUAGCUUUUGCCCAUAAGCCCAUUAUUAUUGUGCAUAUGUAAGACUUUCUUUUAGGUCUUAUUUUUGAAGAAACACACGAGUUUGAUCAGCAACCACACUAGAGAGAAAAGUGAGAGAGUGCAUAUUUGGACAGCUUGUUCCUUUCAACUUAAUAUUUGAUUGGGAAAUGAGAGAGGUUGAUUCGGAGUCCUGUAGAUCCAGAUUAUAGUUCAUGAACAGUAGCUGCAUUUUGGUGAUUUUGCUCCUUUUAUUUCUCUAGUUUUUGGUGCAAUCUUGUAGUUGUGUUGCUCAUUGUUUGGAACUUUGGGCCAUUUUAGAGAACACUUUUGUAACUCUUGUUUAUGUUAGUGGAGCUUUGGCCUUGUGGUUUUUACUCUUCACACCGAAGAGGUUUUACACGUUAAACUUGGUGUCUCAUGUGUUGAUUUAUUUUGCUUGCUUUGGUUGAUUUGUUUGCUUCCGAAACAAUUUUAUUCUUGCAUCAAUUUGUCUUCAAUUGGUUCAAAUAAAAGGGAAAGUUUUGAUUUGGGUUUUCUUUCGCUAUUGCCUUGUCGUACACAUUUAUUUGUGCUUGUCUUUCCCAACAGGAUCCUCUCGGCUCAAGUAAAGCACAUCAAGGCAAUUAAACUCGGAUUCAUGGGGAUUUCAGAAUAGAAACACAACAUCAAUGAAACUUGGAUAGAUAGAAUAGGUCUUAAAGAUGAUAAUUAAAUUACCUGAUUCACUGAGGUAGCGGAAAAUAAUGUAAUUGAGGAAGUCAGCGGCAUGUAUGAAACUUUAGGAUUAGAAUGGUGUUCGUUCCAAAAAGGCAUUUUAAAUGAAUGUUGAAUGACUAAACUACCCUUCACGCUCCAACAAUUUAUUUUUUUAAAAACUUUAAUCAGACAACGUUAUAACUUCAUUCGGUAAUUUUUUUAUUAUCAAGACCUAAGAGGCUAAAACAAUACAAUACCAUCUCUAGGGAGUCAUUUUGUUUUGCAUAUCUUGAGUUUCAAAUUUUCCUUACAUAAUUUUCUCUUCGAGACAUAUUUAAAUUUAAUUGAGAUGUUUAAUUAAAUUUGAUAGUAAAUCCCAACACAUUCAAUUUAAUGGAUUUGAAAUUCAUUAAUUAUAUUAUUUUAGUGGAUGAAGAGCAAACUAAUUCAAUUCAAAUGAAUCGAUAAAUUAAACAAAAAAAAAGUAGUUUGUGUCCUAUAUUUACACUAACUCAUAUAAAAUUACUAUAGUUAAGUAAAAAAUUAAGGUGAUAAUUUGAAUUAAUUAACUAUAAUUUAGUGAUACAAUGAAUAAUGAAAACACAUCUCAGUGUUUGUUAUAUUAAUGUAAACAUCAAAAGCGGAUAUAUUUUUAAUUACCUAAGCUAUAUACAAGAUUCUCCAAGGGUUGCGUAUUAAUCGGUUUAAUUAGGUAUUAAAGUUUAUCGGUUCAAUUUAUUAAUAAUCGAUUUGUAUAUAUGCUAAACUUUUAUAGAAUCAUUAAAAUUUCAAUUUAUCGGUUGUUGAUUAUUAUUGGUUUACCUGUUAAAAUUUCACAUUAAAAAAAUCAAUGGAAAGUACUUAUUAUAGAUAAGGUGGCAAACCAAAUGGACCAUAUUUCAUGUAUAUGAGUUGUUAGAUUAUAUCUUGCUAAAAACGAUAGAUAGAAUAAUCGAUUCGGGCCCAAUUAGAAUGGUAAGUGGGAAUUUUGGGAUAUAUGAACAUUAGGAUUAAAAUGGUGUUCAUUCCAAAAAGGUAUUUUGAAUGAAUUGUUGAAAGACUAAACUACCCUUCAGGCCCCAACAAAAUAUAUUUCUUUUUAAAACAUUAACAACUGGUUUAAACAAAUAUUAUGUUGCCAAGAGUUGAAUCGUUAAAUUUAUUUAAUCAUAUCUAGCUACAUUCUAUUACCAGUUGACACUAUUUUUAUUUUUUUUUAUAAAAGUUGCGACUUUUCUGAUAAGCCACAAUAAACGCAUAUUCAUACUACCCUUUGUGGGGUUUCCUCAUAUUUUAAAACACCCAAAUUAGUAUAUAUUUUAUAUUUUAUUUAUUUAUUUAUAUUAUAUUUAAAUUAGACAUCUUUUCAUAUUGAAGGGUUUUGACCUUUCUAAAGGGUUGUGACUUUUUCAUAGAGUUGUGACUUUUUCAAUGAGUUGCGACCUUUUCGAAUGGUUGUUUACUGAUAAAGCACAAUAAACACAUGUUCAUACUGCCAUUUGUUAGCUACAAAUGGAGGGGUUUCCUCAUAUUUUUAAACUACGAAUUUCUAAGUUUUCUAUUCUUUUCUUCUAAAAAACUCAAGUGUGAUUUACAGUUGUUGAGUGAGUUUUAAAGUUCAGUAAAACUUGAACACCCCCUUACUUAAAUAUUCAAUUACUACAAUACCCCCAACUAAAAACACUUAGUUUAGUAUAUCUUUUAUCUUUUAUAUUUAUAUUUAGUUAUAAUAUAUUAAAAGUAGAAACUCCAACAAUACAACAAUAACUAAGCAAUGAAUUAUAAGGUAAGGAAGAAAUAAUAUAUAUUUAAGAGGUGUAAUUAAGAUAUUUUAAGAAUGACUUUUGUAUAUUUACAUAUUACAACUAUUUUUAAAAUGAGAGAAAAGUCAAACAAAAAGAAGAAGAAGCAGAAGAAGAAGGAGAAGAAUAAGAAGAAGCAGAAGAAGAAGGUGAGGAAGAAGACAUGACCUUAUCUAAACUUUCAGUAUGCACACAAUUAGUAAUCAUAAGAAAAUUUACAUCCAUUAUUCGUAGGAACUUAUACUUUAUUAGUCCAUUUAUAAUCAUUUACUUAAUUUUUUUGUUCAAUAAUACUGACAUCAUUUUAAAAAACAGUGCACUACAUAGUUUGUAUUUAUGUGCAAUACACUAGUUAAAUAAUAUAAGUGCAUCAAAACUAGUUAAAUAAUAGAAGUGCCUUUCAACGUAAAUCUCUUAUGUUCAUUGGUUUGAUUUGAAUACACGGAAGUUUUUACCCCUAAAAACAACUAUCUGUCAAACUUUUAUUUUGUAGUUAAAAUGGUUAGUUUGAAUGUUAUUUUGUUUUUCCCCCUAAAAUAAUAGCUAGUCAAAGUUCAGUAUUAUUCUGAUCCUAUUCCCCCUAAUCCAAUCCAUCGAACACUAUUUAAAGGAAAAAAAUAAUUAAUUUAUGAUAUUUUAGCAAUGGGAUACACUUCAUUUGUAUAAUUAAUAACUACCUAUUAAUUCGGUCAUCCUAUCCGCUCUACCCCCACCCCCUAUAUACCCCACUCUCCUCACAAGUCUUUACCAAGUAAAUGCUAGGCCCUACCUCCCCCUACCACACCACAGAACAUAUCUACUUUAAUUUGUACAUUCUAUUGCUAGUAUCCUUCAUUCCUUCUAUCUCAUAAACUCGAUUGAUUUUAUUCAGUGGAAACAAUGAAGAAAAAAUCUAGCAAGAAUUCCUUCUACAUCUCUGAGUCUGUCUUUACCCAAAUUCAAAUCUAGCAAGAAUUCGAAUUGGGUAAAUCGAACCGAGCAAGUAGUUGAUUUGACACCUGUAUCGACAUCUAAACCUACUACUGUUAGAAUAUGCACAACGGAUGCUAUAUUCAGGAUCACAAAUCUUACAUAUAGACUAAACAAUAUAACAUAAACUAAUUUAGAAGAAGACUAACCUGUUGAAACUUCUACAAAAGUCGUCCAGAUGCCAAGGAUCCAGAACUACGAUCUUCUCCUAUUUCCUAAUUGACUGUUACUACCAAGUUACUUGUGUGGGCAAGUAUUACUUGUUUUUAAAAGCAUAAUCUCUUUCAUGCCACAUCCAGCCUAUUUAUACUAGUUUUCCAACUCAAGAAUGAAUAGGAAAAUCAAAUAAAUUUCAGCCUUAAUGAGCAAUCAAGAGGAUCAUUCAAAAUGAGAAUAAAUUGAGAUUAAUACAAAAACGUUUUCUAGAUAUAUUUAAUAGAGGCUUCCAAUUACGAUAAUAAUUCUCAAAUGAACGAAUUAACCAUAUCGCAAUAAAUUACAAAGUAUUCCACUAAAAUUCUGUAAUUGCACUCCUCAAUUUAAUUUCGAAAUCUACCACUACAUCUUAUUUAACCCCCCGUGUUAGAAUUACCGACACCAAUCAAUUAAAUCAAAAUUAUCUGAAAAUUUAAUUCAUUGACUAAAUUAAUCCUUUAUUAUAUUUACUUAACUUAUUUCACGUGACGGAUCUAAAAUCCACCUGCAGGGUUUUCACGUGAAAACUUAUAAGUAAUCAUAAAGGGGUGUCUUCAACUCGGGUCCGAGACACGGUUCUAUCAACUAAUUAUUAUUUCACUAAUGUAAUUUGUCAUUAUCUAAUCUAUUAGGAAUUUAUUGACUCAUCAAAAAGUCUCACCUUUUAAUAGAUUAAAACAAUAAAAUAAAUUACAUAGAUCAUAAUAAUUAUAUCAAGAUUGAGAGUAUAAAUACAUGUAGUGGACUAGAGAAUUUAUUUAUAAAUAUUCAGAACAUAAACAAAUGUCUCUAAUUGGUCCGUUCAAUACAUACAAAAUGUACUAGCACAAGAAGUUGAAUUUAACCAUUCUCAUAAUUAAGAUCAAAUUAUAUUUAAUCUUGUGCUACGAUCAUCAAGAUGUUCGUCCUACUUCAUCUUUGAUCGUGAACAUAAAUUUAUAACUUAUAUGCACCAACAAUUUUAAUCUUCCGUGUAUGAGUUAAAAUACUCCAUACACAAAAUUGUCUACUAUAUAAGCAAUGGACACACAUAUAUACAUAAUGAUCUAUUUAAACAAAAAUUUAUUAUAUUAAAUAAAUAAGAUAAAAAAUCUUUACAAGGGAUUAAAUAAAAAAUACUAUAACACAAUUACAUGGUUAAUAGUAUAUCCCAACAAUCUCCCACUUAGACUUAUAACCAUGCAUUCACAAUUUUAACACCCAUUUCUUCCACAUGCUUAUCAAAAGCCUUUUGAGGUAAGCCUUGUGUAAAUGGGUCCGCCAAAUUGUUCUUCGAUUCAAUCUUCAAUACUCUCACAUCACCCCUUUGAGUUAUAUCACGAAUCAAAUGAUAUUUCCUCUCGAUGUGCUUACUCCUUUUAUGGCUUCACGGUUCUUUCGAGUUAGCAACUGCACCACUGUUAUCACAAUAAAGUGUGAUUGGUGCUUCAACCGAAGGAACCACUCCAAGCUCUUUUAGGAAGUUUCCGAGCCAAACAGCCUCCUUAGCCGCUUCAGAGGCAGUUACAUAUUCAGCUUCCAUGGUGGAAUCAGCAACACAAGAUUGCUUGAUACUUCUCUAUAUUACGGUUCCACCUCCCAGAGUAAAUACAUAUCCGGAGGUUGACUUUCUUGAAUCUCUAUCUGACUGGAAAUCUGAAUCUGUAUACCCAAUAGGUACAACAUUUCCAGGAUGGAAAACAAGCAUGUAAUCUCUAGUCCUUUUCAGGUACUUGAUUAUAUGCUUAACUGCUGUCCAAUGUUCUUGCCCAGGAUUAGACUGGAAUCUACUAACCAUGCCAACAGCAAAGCAGAUAUCCGGUCUAGUACAUAACAUAGCAUACAUGAGACUCCCUACAACAGAUGCAUAAGAGACCACCUUCAUUCUCUCUAUCUCAUCAGUCAUUUUGGGUGACUGAUCAUUUGACAAAGUAAUUCCAUGUCUAAAAGGAAGAAAUCCCUUUUUGGAAUUUUGCAUGUUAAACCUUGCAAGAAUAGUAUCAAUGUAAAAAGCUUGAGACAAGCCUAAUAUCCUUUGUUUGCGAUCUCGCAUAAGCUUGAUCCCAAGGAUAUGAGUCGCUUCUCCCAAGUCUUUCAUAUCAAAACGCGAUGACAACCAUUCCUUAACUGAAUUCAACAUGCUCACAUUAUUUCCUAUGAGCAAAAUGUCAUCAACAUACAUAAUUAAAAUUGCUACUCUGUUUCCUUCCCAUUUUUUAUAGAUGCAUGAUUCAUUUUCAAAUUGAUCAAAAUCAAAAGUCUUAAUCGACUUAUCAAAACAAAUAUUCCAUGCUCUAGAUGCUUGCUUUAGUCCAUAAAUGGAUCUCUUAAGUUUUACACAACAUGUGUUCAUUGCCACUUUCUAUGAAACCUUCUGGUUGUGCCAUAUAGAUGCAUUCAUCAAGACUUUCGUUUAGAAAAGCCAUCUUGACAUCCAUUUGCCAAAUCUCAUAAUUGUAAUGAGCAGCAAUGGACAAGAGAAUCCUAAUGGAUUUAAGCAUAGCUACCGGUGAAAAAGUUUCCUCAUAAUCAAUUCCUUCUUUUUGUGUAAUUCCUUUCGCAACAAGCCUAGCCUUAAAAGUUUUCACUCUUCCAUCCACACCUCUCUUUUUCUUGAAGAUCCACUUACAACCAAUAGGUUUGACAUCAACAAGGGGUUCUACAAGAUCCCAGACUUGAUUAGAGUACAUACACUCCAUUUCAGAUUUCAUAGCAACAAUCCAUAUUUCAACUUCUUUAUCAUAUAUUGGUUCGGCGUAAUUCAAUGGUUCUAUAUUAAGCUCUUCAGGGAUUCUAUCAUAUGACUCUCCCAAGAGCGUAAACCUUUCAGGCUUUCUAAUAACUCUCCCACUACGACGAAUAGCCACUACAUGAUGUGCUACUUCUUGAACUAAAUUUUGAAUAUCCUGAACAUCCUGAACAUUUUCCUCCACAGCCGCAGGCUGCUAGACAUUGCUCCCACUACUUUGAGGUAGUGAAAUAUCUUGAGUUUGCUCUAGGGCAACCUCCGGCGCAGCCUCAGGUGCAAUUUCUUGUCUAUGGACAUGUGUCCCACUACGCGGUCGUAAAGGAAUGUCAACAACUGUGUAUGGAAUUUGUUCUGUCGAUUCAUUACUCGUUAUUCUUUUAGACAGUUCCUGUAACACAAGUUUACUUCUAGGAACAUGAUUCAUUAAAUAGUCCUGUUCUAGAAACUUGGCAUUUGUCGAUACAAUUACCUUUUGAUCCUUAGGACAGUAAAAUAAGCCUCCUUUAGUGCCUUUUGGAUAUCCAAUAAAUAUGCAUACUUCUGUUCUAGAUUCCAACUUAUCUGUUUUUCCUUUUAGCACAUGAGCUGGACAACCCCAAACUCGAAUAUGCCGUAGGCUAGGCUUUCGCCCAUUCCACAAUUCGAAUGGGGUUAAAGGUACAGAUUUUGAAAGAACCAAAUUCAGAAUAUAAUUCGCAGUUUCUAAGGCAUAUCCCCAAAAGCUAAAAGGUAAAUCAGAAUAACUUAACAUUGAUCUAACCAUUUCCAAAAGAGUUCUAUUUCUACGUUCUGCCACACCGUUUUGUUGAGGUGUUCCUGGGGCAGAAUAUUGAGAAGUAAUUCCUGAUUCUGAUAAGUACUUAAUGAAUUCUGCAGAAAGGUAUUCACCACCACGAUCAGAUCGUAAUGUUUGGAUAUGUUUAUCAUGUCGCUUUAGAUGUUCGUCCUACUUCAUCUUUGAUCGUGAACAUAAAUUUAUAACUUAUAUGCACCAACAAUUUUAAUCUUCCGUGUAUGAGUUAAAAUACUCCAUACACAAAAUUGUCUACUAUAUAAGCAAUGGACACACAUAUAUACAUAAUGAUCUAUUUAAACAAAAAUUUAUUAUAUUAAAUAAAUAACAUAAAAAAAGCUUUACAAGGGAUUAAAUAAAAUAUUCUAUAACAAAGGGAAAGGUCUCUUUGUCAUUUUACCUUCUAAACAAGAUUCACAGGUUGGUAGUGCCUCCACUUUCAAUGAACUCAAAGGUCCAUCUGUAACCAACCGUGAAAUCCUAUUUAUAUUAAUAUGACAUAAACGUAAGUGCCAUAAAUAAGUUGGACUCAAUUGAGAAAUAUGUUUUCUUUUAUUCGAAACAACAAUGUUAUUUAGUGCAGUUUGUUGAAGCAUGUUAUGGAAAAUUUUAAACACAAAUAAAUCAUGUAUUUUGGGAGCACUAAGGAUAAAAAAGUUAUUACACUUAAUAACAGCAGAGUUAUUCGCAAAGUGAACAUCAUAACCAUCAUCCAUUAGUUUAGAAACAGACAAUAAAUUCCUUCUUAUAGAAGGAACAUAUAAAACAUUAUUCAAAACUAAAAGUCUAGAACUACUAAAUGAAAACGAAAUUAUUCCAACAACUAAGGCUGGUGCUGGCUGCCCAUUCUCUUGAAAAACACUAACUUCAUCCUUAUUUAGCCGCCGCGUUUCCUGAAACCCCUGCAAAGAAGUGCAGAUAUGAUCAGUUGGCUCCCGAAUCUACAGCCCAUAAUUGGGUAGAAACAGCCGCUAAAUAGGUUUCAACGACAUUUAAAAAAGAGUUACCUUUUGUUUUUCAUCUUAGCCUGAAAGUCAGGGCAUUGCUUUUUUAUAGUGUCCAGGAUGCUUACAAUGAAAGCACUUUCCUUUCGGCUUAGCCACACCAUCCUUAGCACCUACGGGUGUCACAACCUUGCGGGGCUUUUUCUUUUUCUUCUAGAAUUUUGUUGGUUUUGAAGAGGACGGCCCAACCUGGUCAACCAGGAAUGCUGCAUGAGCUUGCUGCUUAAUUAUAGUCUCUGCCGCUUGCAGCUCAUUCAACAAUUUCGCUAAAGACAUAUCCAUCUUAUUCAUAUUGUAGUUCAAGCGAAACUGUUGAAAACUGUCCGGCAAAGUCUGAAGGAUCAUCUCAACUUGAGAUUCCUUAUCAAUCUCAGCACCAAGUAUCUCCAGCUCAUUCAAGUAUUUCAUCAACUUCAGCACAUGUUCUCUGACAUAAGAUCCUUCAGCCAUUUUUGUGGUCAAAAGGGCUUUCAUGGCAGUCUGCUUUGCAGCACGAUUCUGCUCACCAAACAUCUCCUUAAGAGAUGCAAGCACAUCAUAAGCAGAUGUCAUAAACUGAUGCUGAUGCUGCAAGACAUUCGCCAUUGAGGCAAGAAUGUAGCAUCUUGCCAUCUCAUCAGCCUUAACCCAUUUGUCAUAGGCUUGGACUUUCUCAUCAGUAAAAUCUGCUGAUUUGAUAGGACAUUCCUCAACCAAUACAAAUUUAUAACCCUCAGAAGUUAGGAAAAUAUCUAAAUUUCGUUUCCAAUCAACAUAGUUUGGACCCUCAAGUUUAUUUUGAUUCAAGAUUGAGGAUAGGGGAUUGAAGUGAGACAUAGUUAAUCUGAGAGAGAUAAAAUAGAUCAUUAAGCAUACAUGAUAUAUUAUUUUAAAAAAACACAACAAGACAAACAUAAUCAUGCGUAUAAACAGUUAGAUUCGAUUGGGAAACUUAACUAUGCAAGCAAAUAUAUGAGCAUGUUUAAAUAUAGUACCAAUUAAACAAAACAAGUCCAACUCAGUUAGAGAGUAUUCUGUUAAGUAUAAUAAGGUAUAUAUGGAUAUAGCUUAUGUCUCUUGUUCAUUGAUUCAACAUGUAACUUAGUUGGAAAGUGUAAAACAAGUCAACAAAACAAACGACUGUCACGACCCGAUUUCUCAAGUCAUGAUGGCACCNNNNNNNNNNNNNNNNNNNNNNNNNNNNNNNNNNNNNNNNNNNNNNNNNNNNNNNNNNNNNNNNNNNNNNNNNNNNNNNNNNNNNNNNNNNNNNNNNNNNAGGCAAGACACAGAAAUGACCAUGAGGGUCAUUACAACGACGUACCAAAAUAGUAUCAAAAUAUAAGAGUUUAUCCGAUGGGGAAGAGGACCUAAGUCAACAUAUAAACUUAUAUUUACUGUAAAAUACAUUUAUAAGUUUUAGGGAUGAACCCUUACGCCACUGGAUUACUAAAAAUAAUUUUUAAUUUAUUUUUUAAUGUUUCGUAAACAGAAAAUUGGCCAAAAACCCAUCAAAACGACUCCGAAUGGCCAAAAAAGGACCUUGAUCACAGAAUUCUGUUCGUAUUGCUCACUGGUCCGUUUUCAAUUGACCAACCAAAUUUGAGGCCAAUCGGAGUUCGUCAGAAAAAAAAAA
rnacentral:lncRNA from 1 species